GAAUUUGGAAGGCUUUAGUGUGGCGCAUAACAAUUUAGCAGGUAUGAUGCCAGAGAAAUUUCAGUUUUGGACUUUCGAUGAAGGUAGUUAUCAGGGAAAUCCAUAUCUUUGCGGCCAUCCAUUACCUGAUGACUGUACUAGCACCUGAUCAACACCUGCAGUGCCCCAUGAUGAAAGUGAGGAGUGCGGUUUCAUGGACAUGGAGUUCUUCUACAUAAGCUUCAUCAUAUCUUAUUUAUCUGUAGUGAUUUGCAUUGCUACAGUUCUAUCCAUAAAUCCUCACUAGAGAAAAGCAUCGUUUCAUUUCAUUGAGGCUUGUAUAAUACAUUUUUGAGGCCGUGUGUUCUGGAAAAAUCAAGAUCUAUCUGCUUUAAUUCGGUAUGAAGAUCAUUACGUACUAUACUAACUUUUAUAACUAAAAUAUGUUUACAGUCUAUCUAAUCAAUUUUGUCAUUUUUCGUUCUAGAUUUGAUAAUUCGGAAGUAACAAAGCAGUGAAGCCAAAUAUAACAGCAUGGCAGGAAGCCAUGAUGGCCAUGUGUAUGCAUAUUCAAUCAUGAAAGUAUGAAAUGAUUAUAUGUACUUGUAUUAAUAAAUGGGAAUCUGAUUUGUUUCCCAGUUAAAUUUUUUUUGUUUGAGAAAAACAUUGAGGAGCAAACAUUAGUUUAACAAAAAGAUUUAAAUUAGAUCUCUUUAUUUAUAUUUUUUCCUCCAUAUAUAGAAUUCGUGCAUUACUUUUGGGUCACACUUAGUCAAAGAGAGAGUGUGCAACCUAAUGAUCAUUUUGUUAUUCUUGCUAUGAAAAAUAAUUGUAUCUCCGAGGGAUCCUUUUUGAACUCUUUUCUUUGUUGCAAACUUUCUUCAAAGCAUUGGAUUAAUGACUUUUCUAAAGGUUUUAUCUUUGCCUGGGUGUGGACUCAAUGGCUCCCUUCCCAACGAGGCAAAAUUUUCACCUUCCAAUCUCUGCAGGUUUUAUUUACAAAUCCGUGAGGACCAUGGUGUGUAUAUAUAUUACACACAUAUAGGUUUCUCUCUAUGUUUGUGGGUGUUUUUCUUAGUUUUUUUCUAUCUUCAGAUUUGAAUUUCACUAUUUCUCUCCUAUUUCUAUUGAACUUUUUCUUUAUUGUUUUACAAAGAAAUAAAAAUAGUGUGAUGAGUGCUAAGUGAUCAUGUUUUCCAUUUUUUAUUUUCAUCCAGAAGCAAGUGUAUAUAUAUCUCUCUCAAAGGAGCUAGUUGCAUUUAGAUUUGUUAAAAUACAGUAAGAAAAUAAUCGACCCCAAUUUUCCUUAUCUUCGUUUUGUUGGUUAGUGUUUAAUUUAGCAGGGUGUUGUCAACUUAAUAAACUUGAGGAGCUGGAUUUGAGUGGAAAUGUGUAUGUAGAAUCACUUCCAUCUUGUCCAGAAAAAAUGAAAUCUCUUCGAUUGAUUGUGGCCUCAAGGAAUAAGUUCUACGGAGAUAUUGCUGUAUUUCAAAAGAAUCAGAACUCACCUCACGUGAAUAUCUUUCCAUUUCAAGUGACAACUUUCACGUGCCCAUUUCCUUUGAGGCUUUAUAUAAUCAUUUUAGUCUUGGUUUCAUAUUUGCCAAAGAAAAUAAAGUAAUAGCGAGUACUGAAUUAUGAAAUUGGGUUCCUAACUUCCAAGAAGAGGUUUUCAGUUUGUCAAAUUGCCAUCCAACUCUACUUCACUUUUUUCACUAUUAGACUGAAUCUCACGUGACUUUGGAGAAACUCAAGUUGCAAGCAAGCACCAAUCUCAAUAUGGAGACUAUUGAUAUUUCUAGUAAUAAAUUUAUUGGACAUAUUCCAACAAAUAUACGUUUGGUUUUUCCAAAUUUAUUUAUUAAACAUAUCCAAAUAUGUGCUAAAUGUUUGUGUACCAUCUAGUAACGUUGACUUGAAAUAAUUAGUAUCAAACUUCAUUCUUUUGGCCCCUCUUAGAUUUAUCAAGAGUACAAUUCAUCACACCCAAUCCCAUCUUGCUUCAAUACAUCAAGCAUAAGUCAUGUCUAUCUUAACAAUAACCAAUUGGAAGGUGAGAUUACACAUGCAUUAUUGAACAAUUCUUUUCUCACUACAAAAAAAUAUGGACUCGACCAAAUAAAAUUGAUUGCUAUAAAACACUUUCACCGACCAAAUAUUUGGUUGGCAAAGUUUUUGGGCAGUUAAGAAUGAAAUAAAUUUCCUAUGCCCUGUUGCAACCGAAAUUUGCUUGUUGAUUUCAUGUAUUAGUUUUGUCGCUAAUAAUUAGGGAAGGAUUUUAAUCCCGGGUUUUUUUACGUGUUAAUUAAUGAGUAUUUCAAUGACCAAAUUGAACUUGGUCAGUUGAUCUAUAACCGUUAGCGACAACUUUGUUGUCGUUGAUUGCCUAGGGGGAUAAACCUCGCCUGUUUUAGUUUGUGGUUGGUGGGUUUCAACGACCACAUCGAAAUUGGUAGUAAUUACCCUUUUGUUGUUACUAUUGUAUGUUAUUGUUAAUUUCUUAUUUAGUUAUUUUCUCUUGUGCAUUCUUUGUUAUAUUGAUUAAUUGAAAAACUAUUAAUGAGGUAUAGCAAAUAACCCGUUGUUACUCAAAGUCUAUCUAAACUAUUACUUCAAAUAUUAGUAGAGACCAAAUACUGGUUGUUCGGUGUCUUUUACUAAAUUAAUAUGUAGCAACCAGAUUUUAGCUGGAAAAUGCUUUCUAUGACCAUAUUUUGGUUGCUGAAUGAUAAAAAAUAAAAUAAUAUAGAAUAAAAAAAUUGUUUAGCAAUUAUUGACCAUCAAUUGAUUGGUGACCGGUAUCAUUUUUUUAUCAACUAUCCUUCGAAUACCAAUAUUUAGCUGUUAUCGGUAUAUCUUCAACGACCAAAUAUUGGUUGUUGAAAUAUGGUAAUUUUUAUUCACUAAUGCUUUGACCAACCAACAUUUGGUUUCAAAAGGAUGAAAAUUAACCAACUUUUUACACCAAACCAAGCCUGUUACUGGCCAUUGUUUUGGUCAUUGAAUAUUUACAAUUUGUUAAGAUCCAGAACAUUCUAAUUCCAACUUCAACUUUUAAAGUUACGGAGUUUACGUUCCAGAUUACUGAUUAGUUCAACCUUAUGUGUGGAAUUGACUAAUUAAAGCAAACACGUCACUUUUAAUUAGUUUCUAAAUGAUUCAGCAUACAAGUCCAUUUUUCCCUAGGUUUGAAUAAAGCAAUUGUACUAAUUUGUUGGAAAGUAAACAAUACCAAAUUUGAUAACGGAGAAACUAACGUGGUAAAAACUCCGGGAUCAAGCCAAUAACCUCCACUAUAGACCGUUCAGGGAAUACACAGCAAUUCCUCAACUUGUACUCACUAAGAGCCGCUGUCACAGUCUCACGAUCUAUUGACAUAGACACCUCUAGCCUACUAGACCUCGUGAUCUACCUCCUGUAACCUUCUGCUAGACUUCCUGAUCUACCUCCUAUAGUCUAAUCUUCUGUCUCCAACAGCUUCUUGGUCUUACACUGAAAGUCUUUCCAAUUGGAAUACCAAGAACCUCCUGUUCUUGUUCUUAUAACUGCGCUUCAAUCCACCUCUUUCAAUCCCCCAAUGAGAGAGUCCCUUUCUAAACAAAUUAAGGAAGCUAGAUGUUUUGUAUUUACGGCCCUAAUGUUUUCCCAAUUCUAGGUUGCUGAAUCACAAGAUGAAUAUCAUUGAAUCCUCCAAUGAAUUAUGUUUUUUGGAUCACAGAGAUGAUAUUAAUGUGUUAUGAAUAUGAAGAACAAUGAGCAACCUCUCUCCAAUUCUGUCCAUGACUUCUUAUAUUUAUACCUGGGGACAAAUAGGUGUCAUGAGCAGUUUAAAACUCUUCAAAUCAUGACCUAGGGUUUGACAAUGUGUCACUGUCGCUCCAACAACACUCUAGCGAAAAGCGAGUAACAGCUUUUUCGCUCCCGCUUUUCGCUCGAGCGACGCCCGGGCGAAAAACAAGAGACAAUGGUUCUACUUCAUCCACUCGAGAAACACCUUGGCAAGUAGCUAGCAAAAAUCUGACGUGUCUUCUACCUUGUUCCAAACUCAAUCCUAGCCUAAACCAUUUAUACAAAUUGCAACCCAAGUCCCUAACUUUUACAACAUGUUCAAUUAAGCCCCUUUUGUUCACAGAAUUGCCAUUUACAUAUAAAAACCUAACACACUCCCCCUUUAGCCUUCUGUGACAAAAAUAUACAAAUAAAGUGAAGACUAGAAAAUAGAAAACUAUUCUACCCAGUAUACCCAAUUACUGAGUCUUGCAUUCCUUGUUGUACCUGUUUCCUGAAACCUAAAAAACUCACAUACCCAGUGUGUAUAUAUAUAUAUAUAUAUAUAUUAAAGCACUUAACCACAAAUCAACAUUGUUGUUUGAGACGCGACAUUGAUGUCAAUCGAAACACUAACAUUACUAAACAUCAAAACUCGAACAGCAAUGGAUGUGACAUGGAAUGCAAUGCAACGCUCCCCCUUACUGCAAACACUUAUGAAUUUUAUGCAGUAAUACAAUGUAUCUAUGUCUCUUUCCAAUGACCCCUAGACAUAGCAAUUAUGCUAAAUGCAAAAUGUUAAUGAAUCAAUGAAAUCAGUGCACAUGCAGCAAGUUGCAAGAUAGUUCUAUGCUCUUAUGUUCUACCCCUUAGUUACACAUUUCUCUUCCCCUUUUUUGUCACAAAUGUUGAAGGGAAUACUAUCAAAUUCAAACAGAGCAAUAACAUAUAACAACUUAAAAAUGGAGUUGAUAGCAUGCACAAGUAAAAUCAAUAGACCAUAAACAUUCCCACAUACUUAGUUCAGAUCAAAAUAGAGUAAAUAGUACAAGUGACUCAUGUGUGUAGAGUGUCACUAAUCCAAUUCAAGCAGGACUCCAAACCUUAAUUUUACGAGAAAGGACAUGUUAAUCAUUGCCAAUAAGUAUCUUUCCAUGCUAAUUAAAGUCAAACAAUGAAAAUGCAGUAGGACCUAUACUUAUUAUUUUUAUUUUUCUCCCCCUUACUUUGAGCAUUUAUAUUUUUCAAUUUUCCAUAUUUUUCAGAUCUUCACAUUUUUCAAGCUUAUUUAUUUUUCAUCUUAAGUGCAGAUUCUUCUCCAUUAGGCAACUAAGAUGACCCUAUUAAUAUGUGACAACCACCCAAAUCUCCCACAUGCAGUAGACUCCCCCUAACAAAUUUAUAGUGUGCAAUACAUAUGGUACAUAAAGACACCUAUAUUAAGUAAUCCAAAGUGAUUUAAACAAGUAAUGAAAAUUAUUCUACAGCUUAUCAAUUUCAACUCAUACAUGAUCACAACAUGCAUGUUCAAGAAACAUAUAUCUUGAUGUAGAAGUGUUCCAUAACCAACUAUUUUUGUGUUUUUCAAUUUUUCAAUUUUUUGUGUUUUUUAUUUUUCAAAAAAUGAAUGCUCACACACAAAAGAAAAAAUAAAAUCAAGCACACAAUAAAAACUCAAAUAUGCAUGGGCCAAAGCAAACCAAUGCAAAAUGCACAUCCAUGAAACCAAAAAUAAGGCCAAAGAAAAAUGAACACAUAUAAGCGGUGCAUGCACAAAUACUAUGAUAGUUAAGAACUUGAAUGCAUAAAAAAGUAUCUAAUCAUCUAGGCAUAAGAGUUCUCUUUCCUUUAAGAACACCGUGAUCUACUAACAAAUUUGGCUGAUCACUCUUCUUCACCCAUACCUGCUUGGUGGGGGGAACAGUUUCCAGACAAUUUUGUCACAUAUUUGGUCAAAUGAUUCACUUGAUUAGUAAGGUAUCCAAUCCAACCAACAGACACCUGAUUAUUGUUCUUUUUCAUGUUCAUGUUUUUCCUUUGUUUAGGUACUAAUGACAUCUAGGGUUGAAAUGACAUAACUCACCACAAUGAAAUCAUGUCGAGAUAAAUCUAGGACCUGUGUUACGUAAAUGCUAAUGUCUAUUCCUAGGUUGAUAGGUCCUACGCUAUCUAGUAGACCUCUAUCCUACUGAUCCCUUAUUCUUAGGUUCGGGGUUAGGCACAUGGUUAGGCUAGUCUUUGGUAGGGACAAAAGAGGUCUUGGACGUGCCAACAACAUCAUGAUAUUUUCCUUUGUAUCCUAGACUUCCCUUAUUUCCCAUCAUCUUGCCCAUUCCAAGAAUGUCAUCUUACUUAGACGACCUACUGAAGAAGGCAAGUAGUUGAGAAUUUGAGUGCUCUAAAUCCCUCACUGGGUUUAUAACCUGGAUUUGUAAAGUCUUGUUGAUGGCAAUCAACUCGCUAGCUUUCCUAGAGAACCUCUUCAGCUCACUGGCGAGAUUCUUAACAUGAGACUUUAAAGCUUCAUUUAUCGACUUACGCUCACUCAGGACAAUGGAAGAUUCCUUACCGUAGGCUUCUAACUUAGCUUUCUCCAAUUACAGCCCUGAAUAGUUGUACUUAAGGCUUUGAUUUUACUAAGAAUUUUCAGGUUAGCCUGAUAUAUUUUUUCAUAGGCCUCUUCUAUAUCUUCCUCACUUUACAGACUCAUCUCCAAAAUCCUCACCACUAUCUAAGUCCUCAUCUCUCUCACUCCUCUACUUGGAUCCACUACUAACCCUAGCAACGAAGGCAACAUAUUUUCCACUUUUCUCACAGAGUAGAUUUCUCACUUUGAUUGUCAAGCUAGACUCAUCAUUAGUGAGAGUAGUAUUCAUAGCAUUCUCUUCGACUCUCCUAGCAUUCAGGCACUCUUUCUUAACAUGACCUAUACCUUAGCAGUUAUGACACCUCAUAGAUUUAGAUCUUCGCCUAGAUUCACUCAGGCCACCUCGCGAUUUCGAUUGUAUCUUCUUCUUAUUCCUGAGCAUCUGACGAAAUUUGUUAGCUAAGUAGGCCAUCUCCUCAUCAUUGGGUAUAUUUGAGUCAAAAGAUUGUGCCCAAUUAUUCUUGGCAGAUUUCAAGGCCAAAGAUUUUUCCUUAACAGCUUCAUCUAUGGUCUGCUUAUAGGUCUGAAGGGAUCCAACUAAUUCUUCUACCCCGAUAGUAUCUCUAUCUUUACUUUGCUCAAUCACCAUGACUUUAGGCAUGAAAUGCUCGGGUAAGGAUCUAAGAAUUUUUCUGACUAUCUUAGGCUCGAGGAUUUUCUCUCCUAUGUUGAAGCUAGAAUUUACUAUGUUGUUUAGGCUCGCAUAGAAGAUGUCAAAAGUCUCAUCAUCUCUCAUCCUAAUCUCUUCAAAUCUAGUAGUCAACAUUAGCAAUUUGGAGUUCUUAACCACCUAUGUUUCCUCAUUUAUGGUUUCUAAAAUAUUCCAAACUUCUUUCACUAAUUGACACAUGGACACUCUCCUAAACUCCUCAAGAUCCAGAAUUUUUUAAUACCAACUUCAACUUUUAAAGUUACCUAGUUUACAUUCUAAAUUACUGAUUAGUUUGACCUUAUGUGCAAAAUUGACUAAUAGAGCAAACAUGUGACUUUUAAUUAGUUUCUAGAUGAUUAAGCAUACAAGUUCAUUUUUCCCUAAGUUUGACUAAAGCAAUUGUAAUAAUUUGCUGGAAAGUAAACAACACCAAAUUUGUUUAUAAUGCUAUUUCAUUUUAAAAUUGCAUCGAUUAAAUUUUUGUAGUGCUGUUAUUCAAAUAUUAUACCUGAAGUCACUUGGCUGAAUCCCUUGAUUUCAAAGCCCCAUUUACCUAAUUAGGUUUUGACUAGUAUUUGAUCCGUGCUUUGUUAUUUUAUGGAGAUCAGCAGUAUUAGCUUGCCAUGUUUGAAUUUACUUAAUCCCAAAAUUUAUAAAACAAAAGGAGAGAGAUUUUUAAAAAAAAAUGCUCAAGUCAUUAUUUUCCAUUGCUUGCACUUAUUAUUCAUUGAUCUCAUCAUUACAUGCCAUUUUGUUUGUAUUACAUUGCAUACAGUUGCAUAGGAUUGUCUUGUCGCCUCUAUUUUCGAAACAUUAACCAUGAACCCAUCCAAAUUUGAUGCACUCACUAGAUAAGUAGCUCAACUUGCUACUAGCCAACAACACUUACAAACUCAAUUAGCAGCUGUCCAAAUCGAGAUAAAUACUACUUGUGAAAAGAACAAAGAUCUAGUUGCUAGUCUAAACAAUUUUAACCAAAUCCCUCAUUUGACUAAUGUUAAUAAUUCUAAAGCGUCCCACAAUAGACAAUACCAUCAUCGACAAGUUGAUCAAAAAUAUUUUCAACACAAUCAUAGAGAUAGGGAUCAGCUUCAUGGGUGAGAACAAGGCAAUGGUCGUCAUGGUACUCAUUUGCUUCCUUGUCGUAAGGAGCAUUUCUUUAUAAACAUUAAAUUAGAUACUCCUACUUUCGACUGUUGCUUAGAUCAUGAAAUUUUUACCCAAUGGAACACCCUUACAUAAGGGAAUCGCUAGUAACUGAGUACAUUGCUCAGUUUGAGGAAUUUCAAAUGUAAUGUCAUGUUGUUGAGGAUGAGGCCUUGAUUUUGAGUAGGUUUAGACAUGGCCUAAGAGAAGAUCUAAAGCAUGAGCUCUUCCUUUAGGGUAUCACUAUCUCGAUCAUGCUUACUUGUUAGCUUGGGACUAGGAAGGUCGAAUGGUUGAACCACCACGGGGAGUUGAUGACGACAUCCACCUAUAUUUGUUUUAUUUUAUCUGGACUCUUAUUUAUUUGGUUUAUUUUAGUUGGGCUAUUAUUUAUGUUAGUCGACUUAUAUGAUGGGCUUGGCCAUUUCGCUUUAGGGUUUUGUUUUGUUAUUUAAGUCUAGUUUGUCAUGUAAUUGUGACAAAUGAUUACUAUGAAUUGAGAUUGGUUUUGGCAUCUCCUACCUCUCCCUUCCCCUUUUCUCUUGAAUUUCAAACACUAGUAAAAUUAAUGAACCGUGAAUAAAGUUUUUCAUUGACUUUGUUUAGAACUUAUUAGGAGUAUUUGGUGUAGGUCAUUCCAUAUAUAAUGUGCACUGCACACAUUGCACAAUUGUAAGUACAUUGGACUGCAUGCAUGAGAUUUGGGAUGGUGGUUUUUGGUGAGCUAACUUUGAAUAUGUAAUAACAUUUAAUUGGAUGACCUAAACUCUAGUAUAUUCCCCAUUAAAGGAAAAAUUGCAAUGAGCUUCAAAAUAAUUGAAUUUCAUAAAAAAAUAUGAUACAUCUAUACUUUUGUUCGUAGCCAUUACAACUUGAGUAAUUAAGUUCGAUGGGUAUCUUAAAAGCUGAAGCCAUAUGGUCAUCCGCCUUGUGAUUCAUUGGCCUAAAACUCAUUACAGGGCUAUUAAGGAUGCUUAAUGAAGAGAAAUUUGUACAUAAAAUAUGAAUAUAUAUAUAUAUAUAUAUAUAUGUGUGUGUGUGUGUGUGUGUGUGUGUGUGUGUGUGUGUGUUUACGCGUGCUUACACAAAGGAGGUAAAAAUUUAUACUUUAAAAAAUUAAUAUGAGCUUUUCAUUUAAAAGGUUCUAGCAGUGUUUGCAUUCAUAUUUUAAGGAAAGCAUUCGUUUUCUAGUGAUUCUAUGCAUGUCCUUUCUCAUUGAUUUAAGAUUUUGAGAUUUGCUUAUAAAAGUUUAGUGGCACGUUACCCAUGAAUAUUUUAUACUAUCUACUUCUUUAAAAUAAGUUAUGUAGGAAAAGUAACUAUUCAUGAUGUUAUAUUUAAAAGUUCAUGAAAAACAAUUGUCCCGAAAGAAAGAAAAAAAUUUACUCCCCAAUUAUAUGUUUUGCUUAAUUUUGCAUAACUGUACACAUGUAUAUUUGUCUUUAGUCAUUCAUGUUUAUAUUAUUAUUUUUAAUUUGUCGUUUCUGACAAAACAGGUGAGAGAUUAAUAUUUCAGAGAGAUGAGUUUAUGAGUUAGGGAGAGGAAUUUUUGAAAUUUAAUUUGAUAUUUGAGCUAGGGGGAGGCAUAGUAAUUCCUUCAUUGAUUGAUAAUCUGACUAGCAUGAUUGAAUAUUUUGACUUAUUGAUAUUAUGUUAUGUAUUUUGUGCAGUAUCAAUAUCAUUAUAGUGUGUUGCUAGAUCAGCUAUAUAUGUCAACUUGUCAUGUUUGGAUUCUAAGUUUUUUGAUGCUUGUAAUAGUACAUAUGUUGGUGGUAUGCACGGUUUACUGAAGUUCUUUAUCUGACUUAGUUAUAUACAUAUUAUAAAUUCCCUCUUGCUUUUUACGUUUUAUUGUUUUUUUUCAUGUGUUUCAAAAAAUGACCAAUAAGAUUUGAGUUGAAAUUUUAGAAUUGAGUAUUUGGGUAGAUUGUCGCUAUGCUGUUUUGAUUUUCAUUUUGAAAUAAAUUAUUUUGUCACGGAAUGUCAAUAUGAGAGAUUAUUAUUUCAAAUUUUAUAAUUGGCAAUUGCUAAGUUUGUAAUUGACAAUAUUCAUAUUAAAAAAUCACGAGUUAUUGAGUUGUAAUUAAAAUCAUAAUAGUUGUUUGUUUCAUGGAUAGUUUUUGGAGAAGUCAGACAUGUCAAAUAUAGACAAAAGAGAAAAUGUCAAUGCAAAAUAGGUUGUUGGCCUCAAGAAGAGUGCUCAUACCUAGGAUCUCACCGCUUGUUUGGCUCUCGAAAGGUUCGAUCAAAAUUUGCUUUUCUAGAAUACCAGAGGCAAGCAUGGAAUUACAAAAGAAGUUCUUUCAACAAGUAUGUGAAUUAUGAAGGAUUUGUCGAUGAAAUAUGAACCGAAGAUUGAAAGUUCAUAGAUGGAAUCCCUUGAGAAAAGUAAGAACGGCAGUUCGUGCUCCUUGGGAGGUCCCAAAUAAAUGCAUUCAUUUAUUAAGCAUGAGGUCAGCGCUCAACGGAAGGUGCGACAUCAAGGUGUUCAAUUCGUAAUUUAAAGUUGUUUUUCAAUCCUAUUCAACCUCUGACACUAUCCAUUAUAAAUAUAUAUGCCUUACUUCGUCCCAUGGUGUGAUUAAAUAUUAUUUUCAUUAUAUAGAUCCUUAUUUGAAGAUCAAUUACACAUUCCAAAGAUCUUUUAAUCAACCCCAAGAUCAUUGAUUCAUAUAUUCAUCUCAAAUAUGUUUUUAUUGGUUGAGCCUUAAUUUUUGUUAAGAGAACAUCCAUCGAAGAUCAAAUUCAAAUCCAUACAUCUCUUGCCUCAGCUACUUAUUAAAACACAAAAAAUCCUAUCUCACCUAUAAGUGUUCCGAGUUCUGAAGUUUAGAGUUGCUACACUUCAGAAUGAGUUCAUUCUUGGUGAUCCAGUGGAGAGAAAGGUAGUCCAAAGUUUUCAGAAGUGCAGGUUGCACAAUCAAAGAUGUUCUUUAGUGAUUUACUAGUUAGGUGGUUAGAGUCAACUAAGGUUUAGUAGUAUUUGAACCAAUAGUAGGUUAACUGUUCUAGUGGAUCUAUUUGACAAGGUUUGCCUUGAUGUUUUUGAUCCUUGUGAAAAGUCUUCAAGGGGUUUUCCUCUAUCAUCAAUUUACUUUUUAAUGCUUUAAUCUAGAUGAUUAUGAGAUUGUUUAAUUAGGAUUUAAUUAGAUUAAUAACCUUAAUCAUCUAGAACCAAUAAAUAGUAAGUUGUUAGUUUUUAUUCUUGAUUGUUUUCAUUCCGUAUAUUUCGAUCUAAAUAUUUUCAACAGUGUAUAGAUGGAACAAUGAAGUAUUGGACAAAUGUCGCAAAGAAUAAACAUCAACAAACUUUGAAAAUUUGAACUACUAAUAAAUUUCAACACAAUGAUGAGGGAAUGUUAACUUAUAAAAAUGGACUAAAAGCUCCUAAAACUCUCGUAAUAAAGUCAUUGCACAAAGGGAGAAAGGUUGAAAAACAUGUAGCCAAACUUAUAAUUUUAAAAACGAAUCUGCCUCAGAUUGAAACAGUAUCUUGGGUCGGACCUAUCGAAAAUUAGGACAUAAUCUUCGAUCGAGAAGCAUUUUCUGACAAAAUAAUGCUAAAUGAGGAAAAAACUGCAGUUGGUUUUCAAAAAAUAAUUUACCAAUUAAUUAAUUUAAGAAGCGUUAGAUAAAUUAAUUAAUUGAGUUGCUUAUUAAUAGGUCUGAACUAAUUAAUUCGAUUAAUUAAUUCAUGGACCAGAUUUAAUUAAUUAAAUAUUAGAUCGGGUUAAGUUUAAGUGACGAGCAAAGCCCAUUUGGGCUUAUAUAAAUAAGCUGCCAGGAUUCGAAAGUUGUAGAGAAUUUUAUUCCUCACACAAGAAAAGUAAACCCCAGUUCUCUCUCAAUCUUGUUCUCUGUGUGAAUUUUCAUGGAAGGCUGGACAAUUGGACAGAUGCAGGUGGCAGAUCAAGAUUGGCGAAACGAAAGAAACGCAAAGGAUUUUGUAAAAUUAAAGAAAGGUAUAAUUCUCUAUCACAAUUUCUAUCUAAAUACAAAGGAGAUCCUUGGUGGGAAUUCAAAUUUGUUAUAUUUUCGGUUGUGCAUGAUUAAGUAAGCUCCAACGAUGGUAUCAGAGCCUACUCUAUGUUUGUUAGAAAUUGUUUUGCAUAAUUGAACAAUCAAAAGUUAAUUGCUCAUAUUUUUCUUGGAUCUAGCACUUAGAAAUCUGUUUUGAAUAGAAAAUAAUUUUUUGGUCGAAAUUAAAAAAAAAUUGUGGGAGGAGGCAACAGCCGCCACCGUCGGAGUCGGAAGCUGCUGGCGAUCGUGCUGAAGCACAUCAGUAGCAAAGUUCAAUGUCGCUAUAAGAGAAUGCAGCAGUGUCGCUACAUUCAGCACUGCUGCUAUUUAUUUUAGCAGUGUCGCGCACUGAUACAAUGAUAGGAAAAUACUGCUGCCAAACAGCGUUGACUUUCGGUCGCAAAAGACAAACAGCUGAAAAUCAAAAGAAGAAGUGCCGGGAAUGAAGAUGAACGAAAAGGGUGAAUUUCCUAGGGUUUUCAUUCGGAGGAGAAGAAUAGAGGCAUGGUAUGAUUUGCAGUUUGUGACAUUGCAAGCCCUAGCCUACAAUUAUUUAAAAGGGGGUCAUUUUGCAAUUUUAAAAUAAGGGCUUCUAUCCAAUUUUGAUAUUUCGAGGGCCCUGCUAUUAAUUUAAAUCUUGGGUCAAAUUGCAAUUUUCAAAAAUUGUUUUGAGUUUGAAUUUUAAAAUGGUUUUAAAUUUGAUUUUCGAAAGGGUUUGACCUAAAAUUUCAAUUUUGACCCGUUUGAAGUUAAAUUUAAAUUUGAUCACUUUUAUAUUGUCGUUAAUAUUAGAUUUUAACUUAAAUAUUGUAUUUGACCCUAAAUUGAAUUUUAUUUUUUUUAUUUGGGAAUUUUAUCAUAUAUUAAAGAUAUCAAUUCAAUUUUAAAUUAGAGUUGGACUCUAAUUUAGUAUUUAAUUAAAAUUUGAUUUUAAUUAAUUAUUUACCCCGAAUAUAUUCUUGAAACUAGAACUGGAGUCUAAUUUGAUAUUUAAUUAAAAUUUUGUUUUAAUUAAAUUGUCUCACCCUAAAAUUAUUUUUGAAAUUAGAGUUGGACUCUAAUUUUAAUAUUUAAUUAAAAUUGAAUUUUAAUUAAAUUCAACCGCCAUAAGUCUUGAAAUUAGAGUUAGAUUCUAAUUUGAUAUUUAAUUAAAAUUUUAUUUUAAUUAAAUAGUCCCGCCCCAUAAAUGUGGAAUUAGAAUUGGACUCUAAUUCGGUAUUUUAUUAAAAUUUGAUUUUAAUUAAAUAUGCCCACUAAUUAAAUUAAUUGAUUAAUAUUAAUUUUUUAAUUGUUCCGAUCCAUUGUCUAAAAUAGUUUAGAAGAUCUUAAUUGCUAGAACUUGAAACAUGUUUGUAUAUAAUAUUAGAUACUAAAUAUGAAUGCAUUUAUGUGAUGAAUUUGUAUUAGUAGAUGCUUAUGGACUCGACCAUGUGCAUUUGUUGAUUGGUUAAUUUUAUUCUUGCCAUUUUAUGGGCCUACAAACUCUUAUUUAUUUUGGACGUGUGAGUCCAUUAUUAUUGUUACUAUUAUUGGCCUACGAGCUCCUAAUCAUUUAGAUUUGGGAGUCCGUUAUUGUUAUUGUUACUAUGGGCCUACGAGUCCAAUUUCAUUUAGGCCUGCAUGCCAACUAGUAUAGGAUAUAUCUUGUAGCUGGACUAAUUGAAGACACAAGAAAAAGAGGAAAACCAAAGAGAUGGUGCAUUGAUGCUAAUUCAAUGCAAUUUCCCUGAAGACUAGAUAGUAAAAGUCCACAAUUGUCCGCACUAUUAUAAUGUGUGUAUAAUUAUAUGAUUGUUACGAUGAAACUUUGUAGGAAAACUCUCACUGAAAUAUUAAGUCACAUUUUUAUUUGCCUUCCAUCAUUAUAGUAAAAAACCAAAGUCUCAAAUCGUCUCAACUUGUUGAGCACACUCAAGACUGGUCUAUUAGAAAUAUGUUUGACAUUAUGAAAUAUUAGAUAUUUCUCAAUAAUGGCUUCGACUUAACUAAAGUUUAUCUUUUGUUGAGUACAAUCAAGGAGAGAAAUUUUGAAGACAUGUUAAGCUAACACAUAAAAUGUGUGAAGACAAGGAAUCGUCAAUAGGGAUGGCAACGGUUCGGUUCGGGGUCGGUUCGUCCAAAACCAUCACCGAACCAUCAAUUUUUUGGUCAUACCAUAACCGCACCAUAACCACGAAAGUCGGUUCGGUUCGGUUCGGUUUCGGUUCAUAUCUCGGUUCGACUCGGUUCGGGUCAUUAAUAACCACGAAAAUAAAUUAUUUUUAAUUGGUCCAUCCGUCGAAUUAAAAUGAAAACAAAAACAUGAUACUAAGUUAAUGUAGCGAACAACAAUACAUCCCAAAUGAAAAUGCAAAAAAUAUCCCAAUUCCACAAAAUCCAAAUUUAACAAACAAUAUUCAAUAACUCAAAAAACUUCAACCUCAAUUCAUAUUCAAUCUUCAUUCUUCUCCACAACUCUUACUGGCAUCCGUCAAAACUCAAAGUUGAUUCCUAUUUAGUAUAUAAGAAAUGUAAGUAGAGUAAUAAAUCAAUAAUCCAUAAUGUUUUUAACUAAAUAUUUAAACAAAAAAAUAUACCUCUUCGUCAACAUCCUCAUCAUCAAACUUUGCACAAGCUCCGAAAUAUGAUGAAGGACCAGAAUUUUCUACACACAAAAGAGGAAAAAAUUAGCAAUAAAAGAAAGUGCAUAAAUAACAAACAUAAAACAAUACAUCCUACCAUGAAUAUCAGACCAAAGCCAAUCUCGAGCACACAUUAAAGCUUCUAAAGUCUUCGGGUGAAGCCUAUUUCUAUGUGGGCUCACAAAUCUACCACUUGUACUAAAUGCUGACUCGGAUGCAACAGUAGAUACUGGAAUGGCUAAUAAAUCUCUUGCAACCUUCUGUAAAGUCGGAUAUUUUAUUGAAUUUGCUUUCCACCAUGUCAAUAGAUCAAAACCGUCCACCUAGGCAAUACUGGCUCAUCUAGAAAAAUAUCGAACUCUGUUUUUACAUGAUCAGCAGUAACAGAAAGACUAACAAAUGUAUCAAAACCAGCCAUGCGAGAAUGUUUUCCACUAGUAGUAGACGACUCUGAUUGUGAAGAUGAUGGAAACAAAGAUGUAUUUUCUGUCGAACGAUGUAGUCUCUUGUACUCUUUGAGCAACUUAUGACCAAAUGCUCUAACCUUUUCAACCUCUUCCUGAGCUUCAUCUCCAAAAAUCAAAGGAAAAUAGUAUUCGACUAGUUUCAUCUAGUAUCUAGGAUCCAAUAUAGUUGCAACAGCUAGAAUUUCAUGCAUGCCACUCCAAUAUUUAUCAAACUUUUCCUUCAUGCUUGACGCCAUCCAUUUGACUUCAUCGCAAGAUGAUGUGCUCCAAUCACGGAUUGCCAACUUUAUGUCACAAAUAUUGGGAAAGUACAAAUUGGCAGUAGGAUAUUUUGUUCCUGAAAAUAAUUCAGUCGCUUCAUAAAAUAUCUCCAACUUAUCACAAAUCUCUGUAGCCAAUUCCCAAUCACUCUCACUCGGUACACUUCUGUAAUGAGGCUCUCUUUGCCUUAGUCGAGGAAAAAGUUCUUUGUAAAGCAAAGCAGUAUGAAUCAUUAGAUACGUAGAGUUCCAUCGAGUCUUGCAAUCUAAUAAUAACUUUUUUCCACAAGGGAUUUUCAUUUGUCGUGCAACUGCCUCAAAAGUUUCAACACUUUUCGGUGUUGCUGACCAAUAUGAAACACUAUCGCGAAUUCUCUCAACACUCGGGCUAAUGACAUCCAAACACCGCAAGUGGAAAAAUUCACCAUUCAACAAUAAAGAACCAAGAGAAAGCUUAUCUAACAUAAUGUUAAUCAUAGCGUCAUUCGUGGUGCAAUUAUCAACAGUCAAUGUAGACAAUUUCUAAUCAAUAUUUCAAUCAAAUAGACAAUCCAUUAACACAGUAGACAGUGACUUAGCAGUGUGGGGACAAGGGACAUAUAUAAAUCUGUAUGGAUAUGAAAAAAAGUUCGUAAGAUAAAUUAAAAUUUCAGAAAAUACGAUAGUAGCUUAAAGUCUAUUUUAUAAAACUAUUGUACCUCAAAAUUCGGCUUUGAAGCCUCCAAGAAUCAUCUAUGUAAUGUGCAAUGAUAGCCAUAAAUCCCUUCUUUUGAUUGGAUGUCCACAUAUCAGUGGUGACUGCUAUUCUACUAUUGGUCCUCUCUAACAAGCCCAUUACUUUUGUUAUCUCAUAAUCAUAAAUUUUCAAGAUAUCAGCCUUGAUGGUAUUACGAGAAACAACUUUAAAUAAUGGUUGAAUUGUAUUACAAAACUUUCUAAACCCAGUAUGCUCAACCAUUGAAAGAGGAUAUUCGUGUAGGAUGAUCAUAUUUGCAAGUUCCGUCCUACCUUUCUCUUGAUCAAAAUUAAAUGCUCCCAUUGCAAUCCUACCACUAGGUUCUUUAAAUUGAUUCAAAAACAUCUGUUUGACAUCCUUCUGACCUCGAAGAGGACAUCUAUUUAAAUGAGCAUGUAAAUGACUUGUCCCAUUUUUCGACUCACCCCCUAACUGUUUGUUGCAUUGUCUGCAAAUUGCUUUGGACACAUUAUUAAUUCUCUAUAGCUUAAAAUGCUGCCACACUGAAGAGGUCAAUUUUCUUUUUCUAUUUUUCUCAGUCAUCUCCUCAUCAUCACCUAAAUCUAUAUGAAUAGGAUUUGCAUUUACCUCACUUGGACUUUGUGAAGUAACUGGUGUACUUGUUGAUGUAUCUCCAACUUGAAUUGAAGUAGAAGCACUUCCAAUUGAAGCAGGGGGAGUAGGAACGGAAGAUUCUGACCCCUGGCAAGACAUCUAAUUUCAAAAAAAAAAAAUCAACAAACUCAAAAACUUAGGCAUUCAUUAAUUUCAUUAGGUGAAAAAUUUACAAAAGUGGAAUGCUAAACGAUAGAGAAAUAACUUAUAUAUCAAUAUAAAUCAGAAAGCUCAAUAAUUAUAUUAAAACUAUAUGUGAGGAGUCUAUUUUAUUUUAGUUCAAAAACAACUUUUUGUCCUCUAGACUUUCAACUUAUAUUUAAAGCAGUAAAUAGAAUUCGGAUAAAAAAAAAUAAACAAUAGAUAAUGACUAACACAAGAUAAUGACAAAAAUUAAAAGUUCUAAUACAUAUUUAUAGACUAACAUAAUUGAAAUAUAUACAUAGAUAACUAGUCUAAAUUAAUUUGGAACCAGCCAUGUCAUGUCAUCAAUUUCUGUUAUGGAUUAACAGAGUUAUUAAAUCUAAAAUGAAAGAAUAUGUUCCAAUGGAGAUAUGAACUAGUUUGCAUGAAGUGGCAAAUGGGGUUUUUCUACCAGGAAAUUUAAGAGCAGUAGUUGUAUUUUCUUUUGUUUGCUUAUUCUUUUGAAAUUAAUUGUUUUUUUUCCCUUCCUUAAAUGUGAAGAUUUGUUUGUUAUCCAAAUUUUUUACAAACCUAUAUCUUUCUUUGUAUACUGGUUGCAUAUGAUCUUCUAAUGAGAGGAUUUAUUUGUGCUUUCAAAUAGUCAUUUACCUCAUUUUAUAAAAAAUAGUCAUUUAUAAAAAUAUAAAAAUAGUCAUUUAUCUCAGAUCUUUAAGCUAAUGAAUUAUCGAAAAAAGAGAAUACACACGAUAAGUUCUGAUAAAAUCAUUCUUGGACUGUUAUGGAUUAAAAGAUUUUCAUUUGACGGUGAGAUCUAUAAGAAAACAGUGGUAAGAAAUCCAUGUGGCUGCAAAUUAUAUAGUUAAUAGAGUUUUUCUUUUCUCUUCAAAUCAUUUUUUCUUUUUAGUGAUCUAGCAUGAGGAAAAUUUUAUCUUUCUGCAUUUGUCUCUCUCGUAAAGUUCUACUUUAUGUUCUGCCAUUUACCCUGUUAAAAGAGCUUACACCAUACCCAGAUACAAGCAUAACAAGAAAAUAUAAUGUUCCAAUCUAUUUUUUUCUAUGCUUUUGAGUCUCUUGCUAUGUCAAUUUCAAUUUUUCUAAUCCAAAUUUCAGAAUCUGUGGAAGAUGUCUUACUCAUCUGAAGACGAAACAGACAUAAGUGAAUCUGAGUUAGACGAUUAUGUGGAUAGAUGCUACGAACAAUUGAAGAAUGCCCCUAAAAAGGUUCAGUAUUCAGACGAAUUAUUCAGGUGCCCUUACUGCCCAGGAAAGAAGAAGCUGGUCUAUCCUUUUAAGGACCUUUUUCAACAUGCCUCUGAUGUUGGCAGUCGCUCAAUGAAUAGAGAAAUCAAAGAUAAGGGGAAGCAUUUAGGACUUGUGAGGUACUUGAAAAAGGAUAUUGGUGGGGAAGAUAUAACGUUAGAAUUUGCUGGAUUAGCUAUUGAGCUGCCCAGAGACAGUGCUGUAAAUGAUUUGUGUGUAUGGCCUUGGAUGGGAAUUCUGGCCAAUGUUGAUGUCGAGUGCAGGGAUAGGGUUUAUCUAGAUGUAAGUAGUUCGAGGCUUAGGAAUGAUCUGGCUUCGAAAGGGUUUAAUCCAGUACGGGUUCGAUGACUGAGGGAAAACAAUCAGUGUAGAUAUGCGAUAGUGGAAUUUAAGAAAGAUUGGUCUGGAUUCUAUAAUGCGAAGAUUCCCUUCCCAUGAAAAGCUAGAAAUGUGGACUCUGGUUCACUUCGAAUUAUCAAUAAUUCAAUAUCUGCAUAUAUUAGAGAUUCUCUCUUGCAAAAUGUGCUAUUCUAUACAAUUAUAUAUUUGGCUUUUCAUAAAGUUCAUUGAACAAUUUUAUAGUUGAAAAUUUGUGGUGUGUUUACAUGGAUUGAUUACUAAAACUUGGAUCCGUUUUAUCAACAGUCAAAAAUUCUCUUCCUUUUUGUUCUUCUACUCAUUAGCCUAUCUAUUCAAUCUUGAAAAUAAUUUUGUUUCUUGUAGUUUAAGCCCUGUUUGAACUUUACGACUCAAUGGAAGGGACAACAAAUUGGGGUCUUGUUGCUUGCAAAACAUUGGAUACAUUAAAGCAAGCAACAGGUUAACCCAUAACCAACCAACAAAUGCUACUCCAAUGAUAUCUAUCCUUCAAAUAGAACUUUAGCAAGCUCGAUCUCAAAUGAAUGAACUUCAGUAAGUACAAAUUGAGAAAUGAAAGUUGGUUUUUCAUAUUCUAGUGCAACGGAGAAUGUUGUUGGUAUGAUAACAGUAGUCACAGGAGAAUUGAUACUUUAUAGCCAAUGUUUCUUUGAUGGUGCUACCUAUAAAGCUGCUGAAAGACAUCCAACCGAAUUGCAUCCCAGUCAACAUUAUCAAUAAUUCUUUCAUGUCCUCAAUUUAUAUUAACUACUUAGAAAACAAAGCCUAACUUCUUUCAAUCAUUUCAUCAAACACUUUUUUUGCAAAACCCAUUUUCCCCAAUGUCCCAUAAUACUAAUGCAGUGAAUUAAAUCCAUACUUCAACAUGGGCGUGCACUUCAGUUCCUUCAAAUACAGAAAAACUCAAAUACAGCGAAAGCAGAAGAAGAUGAUUCGGUAUUUCAUUUACCUCAAAUAGUGGUAGGACUGUCGGAGGCAGGAGCAGUGAAGCUCGUGGCUGUGUGCGUUUUUGUAGUAGGGUGAACCGGUGAUGUCGUGAAGAUAACUGUCUGGACUCUAGAGGCGAUGAGGCGUCAGGCGUGGAGCUGUGGUUGCCGCUGCGUGAGUGUGGUCUGUGUCUGAUUUCACUGAUUUGUGAAGUAAGGAGUAGGGUUUACACAAUUACACUCUCAUAUACCCGAAGGUCCCGAACGCGAUUUUAUAAUUUCUAUUAUUCUAUAUUUCUAUAAUUUCUAUUACAAUAAUAGUCUAAUACUAUGGGUUAUGGUAACUGGGCUGUGGGCAGUUGGGCUAGACGACUGGUAUAGUGAAUGUAUUGGGCAGAAUUUUAUAUUUGGCUGGAUAAAAAUAGUGGAAAGUCCAAUAACCAAUUGCUUAAUUAUUAUUAUUAUUAUUUUUUUUUUUUUACAGGUAAUCGGUUCGGUUUCGGGGCAAGGGUGUAAAUACCAUACCCGCCCCGCCCCAUAGCGGUUCAGCAAUAUCAAAUACCAUACCCGCCCCAUUGCACCAUCGGUUCGGUUUUUUUCGCCUUAUUCAGUUCGGUUAACCACGAUUUUCGAUUUUGACAGUUCGAAUUGCCAUCCCUAAUCGCCAACUUAAUGAUCUGUGAGUUGUUUGGAAAUGCAAUUGAUAAUAGCAUCUAUCCAAAUGUUUUGUUAAGGCUUGCUAAGUAUACACAAGGUCUUAAUAUUACAAAUGGGAUUUCAGCCCACUGUUAAUCAAGUAUGGAUUCCAAAAUUUAUGCAAGAGGGUCAUAAAUUUGCGUUAAACAGUGAGAGCAUAAUUAAUUUAAUUAAAACAUAUGUUAAAUUAAUUGAUGCAUUCUAUAUAUAUUAUUAUUUUCUUUUUGUUAUAUUUAUUGAAUCAUGAGUAGCCAUAUGCAUUUGAGAGGCAUACUUGACCCCAACAAUCAAAAUUGGCACUACAUCUGAGAAUUGUUCUCGAGCAUGAGAAAAUGGUAAUGUCCUUGAGUAUCCCUUUCCAAAGACACCUGCUGAUGACUCGAUUAAGGAAUAGGUGGCUGCUAUUAUAAAUAUAGUGAUGACAAUAGUAUUGUAACGAGUGUGAUGCUUGCAACUAUGUUAUCUGAGUUAUAGAAGCAACUAUAUCUAUGCAAAAUGAUAGAAGAGUCUUCGAUCAUUGCUCAUGUACUGAAGGUGAUUGGCAUUGAGAAGUUGUCUCCAUUGAGUUCAAUAAUGAACUAAGAAUUAAGUAUUGACUUACUUCUUCAAUCUCUGCCAUAUACUCAUUCAUACUAAUUAUGAAUUAUGAUAUGAAUAAGCUCAAAUGCACACUCAUUGAGUUGUUUAACAUGCUUAAGACUAUUUAGCCCAAUAUUAAAAUUAGUAGUGGGCAAGCCAUUGAUUUUCCAAGGGUAUUGAGGGGAAGUCUGAAGGGGCUUUGGAAAAGCAUCCAAUAUGGCUAAGAUGGUGAAAGCAAAGGACAUUACCAAAUCUAAUGACCCUUGUUUUCAUUAUAAAAUGAAAGGUCGUUGACAGAAAUAUUGUAAGGCUUGUGUCUACCUCAUUAGCUUCUUAGGUAUUUGAUACCAGAUAUGGGUCUUAUAUUUAUACAAAUAUGGAGGAAACUAAUAGAUGUAGACCACUGCAAAAGGAUGAAGUUAACCUACACGUCGAAAAUUAGUAAAGGUUGCUGCAUUACAUUUAGGCGUAUACUUAUUGCCAUUGUCUUUAGGCUUAAUAUUAGACUUAGAGAAAUGUUACUUUAUACUCAUCAUAACUGGAACAUUAAAAUGAAUUUCAUGUUUAAACAUGAACUAUUUUAAUGUUAUGGAUAAAUGUGGUUCAUGUUUAUCUUGAUAAAGAUCUUAAUGGUUAUGGUAAAUCACAAAAUGACAUUUAUAUUCUAAUAUUGAGUAUUUUAUAAUGAGUACAGAAAUUAAGAGGCAUAAAAGUGAUAAUUUGAAUAAUACCUCGAUCUGGCAUUGCAAACUUGGUCUUAUAGAUGAAAUGCAAUUACAUAGAGAUGUAUACUUGGGGUCAAUUGAUUUUGAAUCAUUUGACAAGUACAAAUCAUGCUUAUUUGGCAAAAUGACCAAAUCUCCUUAUACUUGAAAAGGAGAAAUGUUUGUAUAAUUACUGGCCUAAUACAAGUGAUGUAUAUGGAUCCAUGUCAAUUAAUUUCAGAUGAGGUUCUCUUAUUUCAUCAAUGAUCAUGUAUACUUGAUGAAAUUCAAGCACGAAGUUCUUGAAAGGUUCAAGGGAUUUGAGCUAGAAGUAGAGAAACAAAUGGGAGAAGGUAUUUUCACAUUAAGAUCCGAACGAGGUGAGAAUAUUUUAGAUUAUCUAUAAGAAAAUGGGAUUGUCUUGCAAUGGACUCCACAUAUACACCACAGCAUAAUGGUGUAUUUGAACGGAGGAAUUGCACACUAUCAGAUAUGGCGCGAUCAAUGAAUAGUCAAGCAUACCUCCCAAAAUCAUUUCGGGGUCAUGCACUGAUUCUUGCUUGUAUCUCAUAUAAAAGUUUGGGAUUGUAACGCUUAUUUGAAGUGCCCUGAAUCGAAUAAGUUUAAGAAUAAAUCCUAUAAAUAUAUAUUUAUGGGAUAUCCAAAGCAAAUAUUUGGAUAUCGAUUCUAUUAUCCAAUUAAGAGGAAAGUCUUCGUCUUAUGACAUAUCGUCUUUAUAAAGAAAAUGUUUACUCUAAUAGAGGACAACGGAUGUAAAAUAGAACUUGAAAGAGUUCAAGAGUCCAUAGAUAUAGUUGGCUAAGUAGAUGAAUCUGAGUUUGAUCCCAAAUCUGAUGAAGGAUGUCCUCUUGAUCAGGAAGUAAAGACUCCUGAAAACAUGUUAACUCUGUGUAAAUCUAGUAGGAUCAUUCGAGCUUAAGAAGGUGCGAUUCCAUGAUUACUAAUCAGGCAUUAAUAAUCGAGGAUGAUGAACCUAUUAAUUGUACAAGAACAAAGUCAAGUGUUGACUCAAAAAGAUGAUAGGAUGCCAUGGAACCUGAAAUGAACUCAAUGUAUGAAACAAAGUUUGGACCUUGAUUGACCCUCCUGAUGCGAUAAAACCCAUAUGUUGUAAAUGGUUUACAAGGAAAACGUUAACAUGGAAGGGAAAAUCUACACAUACAAAGUAAGACUAGUAGCAAAAGGUUACAAACAACGUCAAAGUGUUGACUUUGAUGAAACCGUUUUGCUUGUAGCCAUGCUGAAGUGUAUUCAAAUUCUGCCUGCAAUUGCUGCAUACCAUGAUUAUGAGAUAUGGCAAAAGGAUGUCAAAACUAUAUUCCUUAAUAGAAAUUUGAAAGAGGAAGUACACACGACAUGACCCGAAAGGUUUGAAUCCAAAGAAGCCAAUAAGGUAUGUAAGCUUGAUCAAUCCAUUUAUGGGUUAAAGUAAGUCUCUAGGAGCUAGAAUCUUCAUUUUGAUGAGACAAUAAAAAAUUUUGAUUUUAUCAAAAAUGAAAAUAAACCGUGUGUUUACAAAAAAGAUAGUGGGAGUAUUGUCACAUUCCUAAUAUUAUAUGUAUAAUAGAUAUUAUUAAUACAAAACGACAUCCCUACAUGUCAAUCAUUAAAAUUGUGGUUGUUAAAAAAAUUCAUGAAAGCUAUGGGAGAAGCAGCUUGAUCUAUGGAGAUAGAUCUAGAAAAUUGCUUAACUCAUCACAAUCUACAUAGAUAAAAUCUUGAUAAGAUUUUAUAUGGAGAAAUCGGUUUACUUUUAAGCAAUGUGUUGGAAAGGUUCCAAACAUGAAAUAAUCGUUGAUUCAAUAGUAAAAAUCUAAUACAUGAUUGCUUUAGAAGCAACAAAGAGUUGCAGUGUGGAUCAAGAUAUUCAUUAAUAAGCUUGAAAUAGUUCCUAACAUUGUUGAUCACAUUCCUUUAUAUUGUGAUAACAAUAAAGCCAUCGCACAAGCGAGGGAACUAAAGUCUCAUCAAUGAUCCAAACAUGUGUUAGGGCAGAUCAUCUCAUCAGAGAUAUAAUACAAAGAAAUGAUGUAAAGAAAGGAACGAAUUCCAACAAUCGAUAAUAUUGUAGAUCCACUGACAAAGAGUUAUCGUAGUAUAAACGUGAUCGUCCUGUAGACUCUUAUGAUAUUAGAUACAUUAAUGAUUAGAUCCACUGCAAUUGGGAGUUUGUAAGUGUUAUGCCCUAGAUUCAAUCAACUUUGGACAUAAACGCUUUUAAUAUAUAAUUGAUGCAAUUGUAUGACAAAUCUAUUAUUUAAUUAAUAUUAAAUUAAAUUAAAUAAAAGAGUCCGUAGAUUCAAAUCUUGGUAAUUUGUUAAUCACAAGGAGUUAUGAUUGUGAUAUAAAAAUUAUAUAUGAUUGAAUCUUAAAUCACCGAGGUUGUAAGUAAUUACGAGAUACAGAUAUCGUUAUUAUGGAUGACCAUCAUGUGUGGCAUUUCUUACCUGUAAAGUAGCUGAUCUCACAAGCUAGAGUGUGGUGACACUUAAAUAGACAUGCGGAUGUUUUGUUAUAGAAUAAAACAUUGGAGACUCGCUAAGAGAUUCCACUAUCUAAGAGUCAGUCGUUAAUCUCUAACAUUUGGUAGUGAAAUUAGUCCUUUGAAUUGAGUUCAUCAUAAUGCCUUAUAUGAGGACAAUCUACUUGGGUGAUGUUGAAUGUUACUCGUUAAGAGCCGCUAAUACGAUAUCAUUCGGGUAUGUGAAGAAUCAUAGAAGGUUGUCCAUGACGAAUAGAGGAUUUGUCACUCUUAGAUAGUAAGAGAUUAUGAUCUAUAUUUCUUUCAGUUAAGUUGAUAACAAAAUCCUUGGUCAAGGUAUACCCAUAAGUCGAAAAUGAGUUCUCGAUUUAUAUUAACUUAAUAGUGGAAUGAAAGAUAUGAUCGAUAAUUGAGAUUGACACUUAUUCAUAUCUCGUAAUUGAUCGAUCAUAUUGACGAAAGGAUUGUAGUUUACAGUAAAUGAAUAAGUUUGAUUUUGUCAUAUCACGUGACGUUUCUCGUCACAUGUAUUGCCCUAACAUAUUGCUAGAUAUUAAUCGGAGACAACGAAUAUGAAUUAGUGAUAAAUUAAAAUGGGUGUUUUAAUUUAUGAAUUUUGAUUAGAUCAAAGUAAUAAUUCAUGUCAUUAGGCAUCGUGAUUGGGAACCUAAUGGGUCACAUACAAAAGGAGAACUAGAAGAAUGAGAUUUAUCAAUUAAUUAAUUCAACAAGCGUUAGAUAAAUUAAUUAAUUGGGUUGAAUAUUAAUAGGUCCGAAAUAAUUAAUUGGAUUAAUUAAUUCAUGGACCAGAGUUAAUUAAUUAUAUUAAUUAAAUAUUGGAUCGCGUUAAGUUUAAGAGACUGGCCAAGUCCGUCUGGAUUUAUAUAAAUAAGCUUCUAUGACAAGAGGGUUUAUUUCUCUUGCUAACAUAAGAAAAAUAAACCCUAAUUCUCUCUCAAUCUUGUUCUCUGCGUGGAUUUCUAUUGGAGGUUGAACAAUUGGACAGUUGUGGGUGACAGAUCAAGAUUGGUGGAAUGAGACAGAGGCAAAUGAGUUUGUAGAAUUAAAGAAAGGUAUAAUUCUCUAUCACGAUUUCUAUCUAAACACGAAGGAGAUCCUUGGUGGGAAUUGAAAAUUGUUUUAUUUUCGGUUGCACAUGAUUAAGUAAAUUCCCAACAACCUUUUUCUUCAGUAGUCAUGUUCAGGUCAUACAUGGAUAGGAUUGAGUUUGAAAGGACCUAUCAUGUAUCUAUCCAAAAGCAGAAGAAUUCGAAUUCACUGAUAGGCAAAUUACAACAACAUUACAACAAAGAACACUUUGUAUUCUCACAAGGGUAAUAUCCUCAACCACAUGUUAGGAAUCGUUCUCUCUUCUAAUAAAUUAUAUGGUGAUAUUUUUGAGGAACUUGGAGAGUUUAGGGAGAUCCAUACAUGAACUUGUCCUACGACAAUCUUAGUGGAACAAUUCCAACAACAUUCUCAAAUCUACAUCAAGUCAAGAGUUUGAAUAUCCCUUAUAACAACUUAGGAGGGACUAUCCCCAUCGGAUUGAUCAAAUUUAAUUCUUUGGAAGACUUUAGGUGGCAUUAUUUAAAUUUAAUCAUUUAAUAUAUUAGAAUUAGUGAGUUUAAUAGGUAUUAAAAAAUUAUAACAUAUGAAAUAAAUUAUUAAUCAGUCAAAAAUGAUGUCUAGACCCAACCACACCUAGAGGUGUAUAAUGAGAAAUAACCAAAAAAAAGCAACAAGUCAUUAAUUAUUAUUUCUAGAUGAUUAAGUUUAAUGUCAAGUUAACCCUAUGUGUCAAUCAUGAUAAAAAUAAAGUAAGUAAUAUCAGAUUUGAUAAUGAAUGAAAAUCCUUUGAAGAACUCUUCACUAGAAAGAUAACUUACAAUUGGUCCAACACAACUAAAUUGUAGUAUAAUUUGACCACCAACCUAUAAAUCGCCGAAGAACCUCUUCAAUUGUGUAACCUUCACUUUUUAGAACUCUGGACUUCCUUUCCUAUGAGAGAUCACCAAGAACAAACUCAAUCCAAAACAACUUGAACUACAACUAUCUCAUCCCAACUUCCGAAAUCUGAAGGCUUAUAAAUAAAGGUAAAGAUGUUUGGUGUUUGAUCUUGUGGUCGAGUCAAGAUAAUUAUGGAAUAUAUAAUUGAACUCUGUAGAAUGUUCUCUUGUAUGAAAUAAUUGUUCAACACACUUUUUGGACUUGCAAAUGAUUUAGUAUUUAUAAUAUGAAAUGUUUGGGGUUGAAUGUGAUUGUAAAAUUAUGAAAAUCACGAAUAGGACUCUACCAAGAUGACACUGUCACUCAGUGUUAUGACGAAUAUGAUUGGGAGGUUCAAUGGUAAAAAGAAGGGGAUUCAUUAGCUCGUUAUUUUGUAUGUAUCAAUGAAAUGAAAGAAUCCAUAAAAAUUAUCCGAAAGGCUAUGGAAGGAAUUUUCCCGGGAGGGGAGGGAUCCUUUGAGAAUUUAGAAAUCUGACGCUUUGAUAGAGUCAAAGAUAGGACCCAUCUCCAUUGGAAUCUAGCUACUUUAGUGGCUAGGCAACUUACUCGGUAUUUUUGACUAUUUCAUUUGUUGAUGUUAGCAAUGUACAGUGGUUGCCCCAUCUCCAUUGGAACCUUUCCUCUCCCCUCCCUAGCCAUUCCAUUUCUGGCGAAGAAGAUGUGAAAACACGUUUAUCUCUAUAAGAACGGUGCGUGGUGGUUGAACAAGAGGUGGGCAAUCACAUGGUCGCCCGAGGCAAGCGUUGAAGUACUAAAAAAGAUGCUUGAGUGCCCAACACACAUCAAGCGAGCAGUUUUGUGAUGACUUUUUUUCCUUGAUCCAUCUUUGACUCUUUCAAGGCACAUAUUACCAAACCCCAAAUUUUGACUUUAUUUAUAACUCAAUUAACUAUAAUUUUUGACAUGGUAAUAGCCAUUAAUAUUGGACCUAAUAGGUAUGGAUUGGAAUCUUUAAAUGGUGACAUGACUAGUAGUGACUUUCAAAUACAAAGGAUGCAUAAUAAAUAGUCACGAUUUUUCAGAUUGUGUGUGGCUAUCUCUGAAAAUGUACAUAAUUAAAAGACACGACUUUUUGAUAGAGAGCGAUCUAGACUAUUAGAUCACGAUAUAUAUUGAAAAAGUAUUGUUUAAUUAUCCAUAUUAAUAUAUACCAAAAUGUGCAUCUUCAUAAAAUACACAAUAAAUCUAUAAAUUUCAUUCCAUUUUAGUUGCUCGAAAUCAAUUUCAAAUAAUUGAUCUCUAAUUCCUUAUUUCUCCAAACUCUGUUAAACUAAUUCUUAAUUAUUUUUAAAUUCUUGUUCAAUAUUUUGUAUCCUAUAUCAUCCGAUCUGGAAGAGUAUAGCCAAACAUUGGUUUGCCCUGAUAAAAUUAAUAUUAUGAUAUAGAAAUUUUGAAAAAAGAGCCGUGUUUUGUGUGAUAUACAUCCAUUUGAUCAUGUUAGCACCAGUAUAAAAGUUGCAUUCUAAGUAUAAAAGUUGUUCUCGUAUUACAUGCAUAUUUGAUAAUGAGUCAGGGAAAAUUCUUAGGUUCGUUUCCUGAUGGAUGCACUUGGAAGGUUAAUUUAAAUCACUGCUUAUAGAAGCAUUUUGCUUUGGCUCCAAAGCAAGUGACAGGAGCAAUGUUCACCUUGAGGGUUACAUUCAACCCAUAUAAAUAGUCAAAUGUAUGUAAAUCGGAAACUUCAAGUUUAUGCAUGGAUUCUUUUAAGUCAUUCAGUUUACAUGUAAUUGGUGUGUGUUGUUAAAAUAUUGGUUUCGAUUAUCUUGUUGGAGAUGAUGUGUGCAUUAUUUAAGUUAUAAGUAGGAUGCAAAUCUUAGUUAUUGCACAUGUAAAAUGUUCUAUAUAAUUACUUGAGAAUCAUGAAGUGUGUAUACAACCAAUUUUCAUAAAGCACUUGGAAAUUGGCAAUAUUUGCCAUUACCAUAACCAUUAUGUGCAUUUAUAUAUAAUGGUGACCUUUUAGCAAUCUGCCUUUGUGGAAAAAUUAAAUGCAUCAUGACGUGAAUGCUAUUGACUCCAUUAAAGUGUAGUGAGGUACGUGCCUAUUUCCUAUUAGCUUGUGUAACUCAUGUCACCUAACGAAUCAAUUAGCUGUUCUGAUGAGUGAGUUUGUUAUAUUUUGUAUGUAUACUUUUUAGUCUUUGAGUACAUAAAGUGUUUUAUGUUUUAUUCACUUAAUAUGCUAAAUGCCUUCGGUAAUUGCUGUAAUGCUUUUAUUUAAAAACUGAAAAGGUGUGUAGGAUAAUGCACAAUUAUCACAACAAUUAAGUAUUUUAUUUGGGAUUAGUUAUGUAAACUUUUCAUUGAUUGCUGUAUACCAAUUUCAUGUGGAAAGAGGAAAUUUCACCGACUUUGGAACGAAAAGGAGUGGCUAUUCACCUCCUACGGAUUUGUAUUUCUGUUUGUAAAUUCUUGUGUAAAAGUAAAGAAUAGAACCAUUGAAUUUGCGUAUUGUGAAGAUAUAAUUCUAAUUUCUUGAAAGAAAAAUGAAAGUCUAGGAAAAUCAUCAUUGAUAAGGAUGGCUCACGUACAAACGUGGAGAAAGCACGUACUAAAUCAAACAUUGGCAAAUAGGUUUUGAAAGAAAAAAGUUAAUUAUUAAUUUGAUAAUCUUGCACCAAGAAAAAAAUUAAAGUAUCUCAUUGGGUUUGAAGGAUAUAAAUGAGAAAAAAUUGAUGAUCUUGCACCAAGAAUCUUCUUCUCCCAAUCUAAAAACUAUAAAUCCUACUUUCUUCAUUUUCACUUCGAUUUUCUCUCCCUUUUAUCUCUAAUUUUAUAUAAUGAAACCUCUUUUUAUAACCAAACAUGGUCAAUUUAUGGGCUGGAAAAUUUUUGGUAGUUAUGCUUUGAAAAUGAAAGAAAAGCGAUCAUGGAAACCAAAAAAUAAAAAAAGUCAGCAACCAGGCCGGAUGGAUCCAACGUAGGACUAAAUGAGCAGUUUGGGCUGUACAAUGGUCAACCCCUGAAUUUUCAAUUAGGUCCUCAUAUUAUGCUUUUAUAUGAUUUUAUUUUUUUUCAAUCUAAUCUUCAAUUUUGAUAUUGAAAUUUGCAAAAUCUUCCAUAUUAGCCCCAAAACUUCAUAAUAAUUCGAAAUUGGUCCAUCUUAAGUUUGAAGCAUGGCAAGUCAUAUUUAUAAUCAUUAUAUAACUAAUGAAACUCAAAGUUCACAUUUAUUAGCUAGAUGGGAAUCCGCGUUAGUAGCAUUACACAUGAAUAAGUUCUUUCAAGAUGAUUUCCAGCAAAAAUAUGUAAUUUAAAUUUCAGACUUUCUAUUUGUUGAAUUUAACUGCUGAAUUUUAUGUGUCUCUUCUAAAUGCUCUAUUAAUUCUUCUAAUUGUUCAUCUGCAUUCCGGUUAUUUUCAAUUGCUCUGAACAUGCUCUAUUUAAGCUUCAGAAAAUCAUUUUAAUGUUAAUUGUAUUCAAGUUGAAAUUUUUUUCCUACAGUUAAUAUAAUUUAGAGAAAAUUAGUUACAUAGAUAUCAAUAUAAUUAUCAAUAAAUAAGCAAGUAUAGAAGUCCCGAUAAAUACAAAAAAGCCGUAUUUGCUAAUGGCAUUUGGUGAAGGGAGCUAUCUUACUUUUUAUUUUUAUUUAUUUAUUUAUUUAUUGACAUCGAGACUGCAUUGGGGACUGAUUAAUGAUUUAAUAGGGAAAAAAAACUAGUGGAUUACAUUCUUAAUAAUUCAAUAUUUUUACUACUAGGUUGAAAUUGACGUUGCUUCUGUCAAAGUCUCCGUCGAAUUAAUGGCUUUAACAUUUUGCUAAUCCCAAGUCAAAGUCUCCUCAUUAUAGUUUGCAUCAUUUUCCUCAGGAGGUCCCUUAGCUUGUGACAUUACAGAUAGGAAAUAUAUGGUAGAAUUCAUUUCGCCAUUAAUUAGUCCAGACCUGACUGUAGAAUAUCAUGAGUCUUAAUUUCUUACCAAAUAAAAAAAAUGAAAAGAAAAGAAAAAGAAGAAAAAAUCUACACGUCUUAUUUGUUGUAUGGAAUUUAUAGGAAAUUUCCUGGAGUUUGGACAAUAAUGUAGGGGCAAUAUUAUACACUGAAAAAGUCAUAAAACUAAAUAGUAGUGGUUCCAGUCAAUCCGCUGUAAAUCAACUUUCUCCUUUAAAAAGGGAAGCUCCCAAAGUGGAAAAUCCGCCAAGCAACAUAUAAAAGAUAUUUUUGCAGAUUAAGUGUGUUGAGAAUUAAGAAAGAUGGGAAUAAAGUUACGGGUAAUGCUAGUGAUGAUGGUGCUUUCAUUACUAAAUGAAUGGUAUUGUUUAGGGUGUUAGGAGGAAGAAAGGAUUGCUCUUUUGUACCUCAAAGUAAACAUGAACUUUCCAGAUGGAAGAUCGCUGCUUUCACGGGUGGUUAAUGAGAUUGAAACUGUCUGUUGUCAAUGAUACGGGGUUGAAUGCAGCAACACAACUAAACGAGUAAUCCUACUUUAUCUUGAUGCCUCUAGGAAUUGGAAAUUAGGACAUUGGUAUUUUAAUGCCUCUCUAUAUCUUCCCUUUCAAAGGCUUAGAAAUCUCUCUUUGCAGUGGAAUCAGUUAUUAGGCUGGAUUGAGAACGAAGGUAUGAUGUCAUCUCUCCUUACUUAGAUAGCUUCAAUUUUAUUAUUCCUAUUUUGUUUGAGUGAUAAAUAAUAUAUGUUGAACUUUGUUGUAGGUUUUGACAAAUUGUCGAAGUUGAGAAAUAGGCCCUUGAUCUGAGUUACAAUUCAUUUCAUCGCAAAAUUUUGUCAUCUCUUAGUCAGCUUUCUUCUCUCAAGCAUUUGAGAUUUCGAAUAUACCUUUUAGAGAGAGAAAAUUACGGUAAUAGUAAGUUCAAAAUACUUCAUAUUCUGGUGGUUAUUUCAUAGAUCAUGUAAUUAUCGAAGAAUCAGCCCUUUAGACAAUAAAUCAAGUUAUUAUAAUUAAACUUUUCUUGUUGCAGUAUAAGAUAAGCAAUUUCUCUAAACCUUUAAUUUUCUCUAUUAAAAGUACAGAUCAAAAAACCAAUUUAACCUUAUUAGUGUAUUACGAGAAAAAGCAAAGGGAGUAAAUAAUUUUAAAAUACAGUAACAAUACAACAUUUUUGAGAAAAAAAACAUACGAGUGCUAGAAUUUUUGGAGUGAAGACCAGAUAACGGAAUUUCAACUUUUACUAAUUCUUUGAAUGCAAAAACAUAGUCCAUGGAAAAAACAAUAUAAAAGCUAUAAACUCAACUGAAAUUUUAACAUUAAUUAAAGUUGUAUAUAGAAAUGAAAAUCUCAAUUUCAUUUUAGAUAAAUCUACUUACCACACCGUAACUUUUUGUUUUUAGUUAAAGGAAGGCAGUACUUUCAAAAUUUUAUUAAUUUGCCCUCACUUGUGGCAGAGGAAUAUCGUAGUUACAUGUGGAAAAAUGAAAGCAGUAAAUGAGGAAGACUACUUUCCUUAAAAUAAUUGAAAAUGCUAAAGAAAAUGUGGUAAGUGGUAAAAGAGGAAGUACUACUUUCCUUACAAUAAGAUUUGAUGCAAUUAAUGGCAAAAAACAAAAACAACUACAACUAAAAAUUAAAAAAGAAUUACAAUUCAUAUUCUAAAGUUGGGCAGUCCAUAUCUAUCAAUUUGUGCGAUUGCUUGAUUAUGACAUGGUAGGUCAGCAGAUCUAUACGUUUGAUAUCGCCGGUGCUCCCAACUUUCUGUGGCAAUAAUGUCUGCAACCUGGUUUCCCUCUUUGUAGAUAUAGGUAACUCUAUCUCUAUCGAAGGAGAUGAUGUCUGUAAUCCUUCUGAGUAUGCCUUGUAUAGCCCAUGGUCCUCCACCUUUGGUGAUGCAAUGAAUGGCUGCACUGGAAUCUGCCUCAACCCAAAUGUCUAAAAAUCCAAGACCUCUACCCAGUAAUAUCCCAUCAAGAAUAAACUUAAGCUCUGCUUCUGAUAUCUUACACUAUCUAUAUGAUGUUGAAAAUGUCUAUAUGCAUUUCUCUAUGCAGUCUCUAAUGAUGCCUUCCUCGCUCACAAAGUCAUCCUUGACACAUCCAUCAGUAUUGAUCUUUAUAGAUCCGACUAAUGGAGUGUGCCACUAAACUAUAAUGAGGGGAGGAGAUGAAGGGAGGGUCAAAGUAAUCCCAAAGAGUGGAGCAAGCUACAUGACAUUACGCCAGUGUAAUGGUCGAAAUAAUCCUCCAUUGUGAAGGAAUGAUACCAUACGAUAUAUCUUUCAAAUGAUUCGUCUUGAUCUCAUACAGAUACCCCUAUGCUUUGCGCCAUUUCUUUCUAUCCAUAGAAACCAGAAAAUUAGUAGAGGGAUAAUGAUGCAAAUGUGUCCACUCCAAGUAAGCUGUCCAGAGUAACGCCAUCAUAGAAAUCUUUGUCUGAUGCUCUCGCCUGCAAUCAUAGUAAUCUGAAAUAAGAGGACAAAGUGCUGCUAGACUUGAUCUAAUAUACUACUACCAGUAAAAAUAUGGGUAAUUGUCUCAAUCUCAGAACAACAUUGACAUUGAGAAGCCAGUUGACUGCCAACUCUCCUUUGAUUAAUAGUAUCCACUAGAAUCAAAUCCUGCCACAAUUUUCAACAGAAGAAUGAGAUUUUGGUAGGUAUGGUAGGGUUCUAAAGGAGACAAAAUGAAUCUUGUAACGGUUUGCUAGGACAAAUCAACUGCCAUGCAGACUUAGUGGUAAAUCUACCAUCUGAUGUAGCCCUCCAAAAAAUAUGAUCUGGGACGUCAAUACAUAAUGGCAUGUUCACAAUCUGUUCUGCUAUAAUUGGUGGAAGAGCCUAUAUUAAUCGUCCAAAGUUCCAUCCAGUCUCCUUGAAAAAUUCGUGCACCCUCUCAGGUGUGUGUUGCCUAUGUGGGAGGAUCGACACCAAAGAACUAUCUCCCAUCCAACAAUCAUGCCAAAAGAAAAUAUGACCAGCCCCAAGUUGCCACGCAAUGUGUGGUUCGACGCACUUCUAACAGGUACUCAACUAAGGUUUUCAAGUUUCUAUUUUAUGAAUAUUGGACAUUAAUACACUUUAAUACGCUUAAACCUGAAUAUUACCCUUGAGAAUUCUAUGUUUCAGGCAUCAAAAGUAUGCAUCAUCUCCAAGUAUUAAAAUUAGAUGACUUAUACGUCUCCAACAUUAGCAACAUGGUGCAAUCUUUAAAGGCAUUCUUUUACCUCAAGCACUUCUAUUUUCGGUACAAUUAUGCAAAUGAAAGUAUUGGAUCCUAUGGUAAGCCAAAAGAAUUAUAAUUCCAAGUCACAUAAAUUAUAAUACUAAAUGCAACAUGAACUCCAUAUUCUCAUGCACAUUCCAUUGCUUACAUUUAUAAGAGUUGAGACAUUUAAGACAGCUGGAGGGACUGUUCUUGGAUUAUUCUAAUGUGGACUGGAACUUUCUACAAUGUAUCUUCCCUCAAGAUUUUAUCUUUGUCCAGAUGCGGACUCAAUGGCACCCUUCCCGUUCAAGGUAAACUUCAAUAUCUUAUUUGUUAAACAAUGAUUUUCAUGACUUGGCAUACUGAUCAAAAAAUUAUUUCUUCAAUUAUUUCUAUUUUCACUAUUUUACAACUUUCAUUGCCUCUCAAUUGGACUUCUAGUUAAUAAAUGCGAAGUCAUCUCACGAUUCUCUUUUAAUGGAUGCAAAAUUACAAUAAGAUUUUUCAAAAAAGAAUAGAUAUUGAUUACCUCACUGUAUAGAAAAAAAAUGUAUGAAAACAUCUGUUUUGUAUCAACAGAACUAUUUAACUUCAUCAUUUAGGACUUUACAAUUAAUAUAAUUUGAAGAGGUUAAGCUAAUAGUUACCUAAAAGAAAUUAACUUUUACAAUCUAUAGUGUUUUUGUUUUUUUAUAUAAAUUGGUGACAGUGGAAAUAAGUAAGUUAAUAGUUACAUUCAAAAUAAGUAACUUAUUGUCGUCAUUCACCAAUAAAAAAAUUCACUUUUAAAAAUGAAUCUUUCUUACUUGAAAGUAAGUUUCGAGACCAAAAAAAAAAGGAAAAAAAAAAGAAAAAAAGAAAAGAAAGAGCUUUCUCUUUACAGGUAAAGCCUUUAUAUUCCCUAUUUCAUUGGUGGACUUUGAGUGGUAUCGUAUUCAUUUGAUUUGCAGGGUUGAGCGAACUUAAAAACCUCCAAGAGUUACAUCUUAAUUGGAAAGAGUACGAAGGAAUACUUCAUAUAUUGCAAACAUGAUAUCUCUUAAAUUCGUUGAACUCUCACACAAUACUUUCACCUGAAGUAUUGCCUCCCCUCCAUUUUGAAACUCACAUCACUUGAAUUUCUCUCCCUUUCAAGUAACAACUUUCAAGUUCCAAUUUCUUUCAGGGCAUUCUUUAAUCAUUCAAACUAACUUUUUGGAAAAUUAUGAAAUAAUAAAUGACAACGAGUUGGGAAGUUGGGUUCCCAAUUUUCAACUAGAGGUUUUUAGUAUGUCGAAUUCAAGAGGUCGUCCAUCAUUACCCAACUUCUUUUAUUAUCAAUCCAAUUUGAGAAUUCUUUACCUCCUAAAUAACAGCAUAGGACCGAAUUUUUCAACUUGGUUGUUGGAGAACAACACAAGACUUAUGUGACUAUCAAUGGACAUGUUCCAACUAAUAAAACUUUAGUUUUUCGAAGCUUGGUCUCAUUAAACAUAUCAACAAAUAUGUUUGAUAGUUGGGUACCUUCUAGUUUUGGUGACUUAAAAUAUAUAGAAUUUUUACACUUGUCGAGCAAUAAUUUGUCAGGCAGAAUACCGCAGGAAUUAGUUAUGGGAUGCUUUUCUCUGCAUUUUCUCAAAUUAUCGGAUGUUAAAUCUCAAGGACAAAUAUUUCUAGAAUAUAUCAACCAACUGUCUGGAUAGCAAUGAGUCCUCAGGCACCAUUCCAAAGAUUUUGUCUACCAUCCCUCUUGUAGUGUUAGACGUUAGUAACAACAGUUUGUCGGGCAGAAUUCCUAUCAGCGGGUAAUAUGACAACAUUGGUUGAAAUUUCUCGAUCUAACAACUAGCUUGAGGGUCCAAUUCUGGAGGGAAUUUGCAGUCUCAAUUAUCUUCGCCUCUUAGAUUUGUCCGAGAACAAAUUAUGUGGUUCAGUCCCAUCUUGCUUCAAUCCAUCAAUGCACAUCUAUUUGAACAAUAACCAAUUGGAAGGUGAGCUCACAUAUGCAUUUUACAAUAGCUCUUCUUUGGAGUUAUUGGACCUUAGACGGAAUAUGUUCAUGGGAAGUAUCCCUCACUGGAUUAGUAAUCUAUCAAGCCUGAACAUUAUUCUUCUCAGCAUUAACCAUUAUGAAGGCACAAUCCCUCACCAAUUUUGUGAGAUGAACCAACUAAGGAUGAUAGACCUUUCUUUUAAUUUUCUUUCGGGUCAAAUCCGGCACUGCUUUGAUAACUUAACUAGGGAGAAGUCUGGAAGGUCUAGAGAAUCAUUGAUGUCUUCAUACACAACACCCAGGUCUUACAUGUAUAAGGUUAUGUUAGAAAGGGUCUAUCGUGCGACUUUCCAUGAAACUGAAGUUUCCAAAUUAAUUGACGUGCCAAUUACAGUGACAUUCAUGACAAAGAGAAAUUAUUAUACUUACAAAGGUAGCAUCCUCAAUUACAUGUCAGGAAUUGAUCUCUCUUUUAAUAAAUUACUUGGUAAAAUUCCGGAUGGCCUUGGAAAUUUAAGUGAGAUCCACUCAUUCAACUUGUCGCACAACUAUCUUAUUGGAACAAUUCCAAAAACACUCUCAAACCUAUAUCAGAUCGAGAGCUUAGUCUCUCCUAUAACAACUUAGGUGGGAGGAUCCCCGCUGAUCUGAUCAAGUUAAACAAUUUGGCAUUCUUCAAUGUGGCGCAUAACAAUUUAACAGGUAUGAUACUAGAGAAAUUUUAGUUUCGGACUUUCGAUGAAGAUAGUUAUCAGGGAAAUCCUUAUCUUUGUAGCCAUCCAUUACCCGUUGAUUGUAUUAGCACUGGAUCAACACCUAUCUUGCCAUCUGCUAAUGAUGAAAGUGAGGAGCACGAUUUUAUGGACAUGGAGUUCUUCUACAUAAGCUUCAUCAUAUCUAAUUUAUCUGUAGUGAUUUGCAUUGCUACAGUUCUAUCCAUAAAUUCUCACUAGAGAAAAACAUGGUUUCAUUUCAUCAAGGUUUAUAUAAUACAUUUUUGAGGCCGUGUGUUCUGGACAAUAUUCCCAUUUUCUAAAUCAAGGUAUUUGCUUUAAUUCUGUGUGAAGAUCAUCAUAUACUAUACUAACUUUUAUAACUAAUAUAUAUUUACAAUCAGACUAAUCAAUUUUGUCAUUUUUCUUUCAAGAUUUGAUAAUUCGAAAGUAAUGAAGCAGUGAAGCAAAAUAUAACAGCAUGAUAGGAAGCCAAGAUGGCCGUGUGUAUGCAUAUUCAAUCAUAGAAGUAUGAAAUGAUUUUCAAUUCCGUACUUGUAUUAAUACAUGGGAAGGUGAUAUGUUUCCCAGCUAAAUGAUUUUGUUUGAGAAAAACAACAAAGAGCAACACAGCAGUUGAUUUCUAAAAGAUUUAUAUUAGAGCUUCUUCAUUUAGUCGUUUUCCUUAGUCCAUAUGUAGAAUUAGUGCAUUAAUUUUAGGUCACAUUUUGUUUUGUCAAAGAGAGAGUGUGCAAGCUAUUAUUCAGUUUUAUAUUUUUGUUAUGAAAAGUGAUAGUACCUUGAAAGGAUCAUUUUUGGACUCUUCAUCUAUGGAUGCAAACUUUCUUCAAAGCAUUGGAUGCAAACUUUGCCUGGGCAUGAACUCAACGGCUCCCUUUCCAAUGAGGUAAAUUUUUCACCUUUCAAUGAGGUAAACUUUGACAUAUAUAAGUUUCUCUCUAUGUAUGAGUUUUUUUCUUCAAUUAUUUCUAUUUUCAGACUUGAAUUUCAGUAUUUCUCUUCUAUUUCAAUUGAACUUUUUCGUUAUUUGUUUUACAAAGAAAUUUUUAAAAAAAGUGUGAUAAAUGCUAAGUGGUCGAGCUUUUCAUAAAUAUGUUUCUUAAUACUUGAAGAAUGUGUAUAUAUAUCUCUCUAAAAAUAGGUUGUUGUGUCUAGAUUUGUUAAGAAAAUCGUAAGAAAAUAGUUACUCAUGUUACCAGUAAAUCUAAAAUAAUAUGCAAGGACAAAUAAAAAUGAAUCCGAUUGUCAAUUUUUAUUGAACGGAAAGCUAACUUCAUUAAUAAAAAUUUUAUAAUCAACCCCAAUUUUCCUUAUCUUUGUUUGGUUUGUUAGUGAUUAAUUUAAGAGGGUGUUGUCAACUUAAUAUACUCAAGGAGAUGGAUUGGAUUAGAAAUGAGUAUUGCUUCCAUCAUGUCUAGAGAACAUGACAUCUCUUCCGAUUGAUCGAGCUCUCAAGGAAUAAGUUAUGUGGAGAUAUUGAUGUGUCUUUGCUUUCGAAACUCACCCCACUUAAAUAUUUCCAUUUAAAGUAACAUUCACGUGCCCAUUUCCUUUGUGGCUUUAUUUAAUCCGUCGAGUCUUUGUUUCAUAUUUGCCAAAGAAAAUGAAGUAAUAGCAAGUAUUGUGUUAUGAAAAUGGGUCCCUAACUUCCAACAAGAGGUUUUCAGUUGGUCAAAUUGCCAUCUAACUCUACCUCACUUUUUGAGAAUUCUUGAUCUCUCACACAACAACUUGGGGAGAAAUUAGCCAACUUGGUUGUUAAAGAACAACACUAGACUCGAAGGAGCCUAUUUUAGAGGUAAUGCUUUUAGAGGAACUCUCGAGUUGUUAGCAAGUACCAAUCUCAAUAUGGAGACUUUGAUAUUUCUAAUAAUAAAUUUAUUGGACAUAUUCCAACUAAUAUAAGUGUAAUAUUUUCAAUUUUAAUUCCAAUAAACAUGUCCAAAAUGUGCUUAAUGGUUGUGUAAAUGUUAUGUCAUAGGUCCAAUCGAUUUCAUACAUAAACACUUUUAAUAUGAUUGAUGUAUUCUAUUUAUGAUAAAUGUAUCAUUUAAUUGAAUUAUUAUUCCGAUAUAUUAAAUUAAUCCAUAGAUAUACAAUUUGAUAACGUGUUAGUCACAAUAAGCUGUGAUUAUGAGAAAUAAAUUACAUAUAAUUGAAUUUUAAAUUAUCCAUAGUAGAAGUAAUGACAAGAAACGAAUAUUGAUAUUAUGGAUAAACCAGCACAUAUGACAUUUCUCACUUAUGAAGUGAGUAGGUAAUAUUUAAAUGGAUGCGUGGAUAUUUAUUAAGAGAACAAAAUAUUGGAGACCCACAACACAGAUUUCGCAUGGAUAACUAUCCGAUGGUCAGUGGUUAAUCGUUAACAUCGAUGGUGGAAUUGGUUCUUGGACUUGAUGUCAUUACAGUGCAUAUGAAAACUGUCAUAUUUUGGUAGUGUUGGAUGACACAACUCAUCUUGAAUUAACCUAAUGGAUCCAAAAUGUGACUUGUACCUAUGAAAGAUGCUAAAUAGAUGCUAGAUCUACCACCAAGACUAACUAUGAGUUACUACUAAUUAUGAUCCAAAAAUAAGAUACUUAUGAAAAAGAAAUAAUACAAUGGCCCAAAAUAAUUACUUCGUACUUUAUUAAAAUGAGUAUAUCACUCAGUAUGUCGUCUGGCUUUAACUCCAAAAUCAUCAAGCUCCUUAAGUUAUUAAGAAACAAUUGCUGCCUAUAAGAAAAAUCAUGGGAAAUAUUUGAGAAUAGUUAUAAUUUCUCAUUAUUGGAUCUCAAAGAUCAAUUCUUUGAAUUCCAUAUAUAUCACAGAGGCCCCUUUGUAAGCUAUAUGUACACGAUCAAGACCAGUAUCUGGUCAAGAGAAGCUUUGUAGGAUAGAACAUGGCCAAUGCCCCUUGUGAACUAGAAGAAUUAUAUAAUCACGAGUACUCUUCUAGUUGAUCCCAAUGUCACAUGUAUCACAUUCCAAUACACAAUUAAUCCAUAUAUAAUCUUUGAAUUCCAUAUAUAUGACAGUGAAAAAACAUUUCCAUAUUAAUAAUGUAACUGAACAAACAAUUCACAUAAUCGCACAUAAUAUAAUAGUGCAAGUACUAUAUCAAUAUUUGAGAAUAUAUAAGUUUUUCCACUCUACAAGUUGUAGAUCGAUCAUGACUUUAAUCUUCUCAUCACCUCCUCAUGUUCAAAAACCAAAUAUGACAUCUUGCACUCGUCCUAAGAAUUAUAUCUCCUCACUAAGGUGCUUUAAACAUAUUUCCUACCAUUAGAAAUAGAAAUAAUAAUUUACUAAUAAGAACUUGAAGUCUAAUGUUUAGUGUAAUGUCAUAAUACCAGGGUCACUAAUAACAUAUACACCUUUAUAUAAGUUAUUUCAACACCUAAUCCCCAAUAUUUAAUACUUAAUUUGGUUUUCAUACUAAAAACCAAGAAAAUAAAAAAUAUUAUCAAAUUCAGCACUGUAUUUCAAGACUAUUGAAACAUGGCACAGGUUUCUGUAUAUUGGAAAGUGUUACCAAAACCAUUGACAGAAAUAGCACUUUCUGGAAAGAAUUUUAAAAGCAGCCUGUGUAGAAAUUGGUCCGGAAGAAAAUGAGGUAAAUUAAGCAAAAAUAUAAUCUCAAAUCCUUGUCCAACUCUAAUAUAUCAUAAUCAAGUGUUUGGUAUCAUCUACACACAAUAGAUUUGGAGAUUGAGACUCUAAUUUACAAACACAUUUCAUGUCUCUUGUAUACUUCAACAUAAAUCUUUCCAUAUUCAUAUUUCUUGCAGUAGUAUUCUUAAAUUACUCAAUUACGUCUUAAUAAUUUUAAUUCAUGCUGAACUUCAAAAAUAAACAAUUUUUCAUAAACUCUAAAUGAAAUAAUUUAACAAUCUUAUACUUACCUCCUUAAAUUAAAGGAGAAAUUGAACAGAAAAUUUAUAAUUUUGGAGAUAUCAAAAUCGAAUAUAAUUAGGUGUACCUUUCUUCGAUUUCUCGGUGUUUGCUUCGUUUUCCUUAAGUUCCCUAUUUUAAAAUACCAAAAUUCUGUAUUCAAUAUUAUCUUUCUAAUUUCUACUUUUGUUGCUUCCGUGUUUGAAAUAGUGUAUAACGUGGGAAUAUAAACUUUAAUAUGAAGCAAAGGCCAUAAUGAGACCGUAGUAAUUUCACAAUCGAACAGAUUUUGCAAAAUGGAGUUUGAAUUAGGUUCUCGGAAGAAAAAAAUAGGCGCUGGAUGCAUCAUCAUGAUUGCAUUAGGUUGGGGAUGGAUAAGAACAUGUGUCUGGUUGUACUAGAUUUAUGAAACUCUAGAACUUUUAUAUUGGAUGUUUCAUGGGUGUUAUCCAUCAAUUUAAACAAAAUAAAAAUAAAAUUCUAGUUUUUCCCAUAAUUUUAUCACUCUUACCGUUGAACGAAUUUCCCUUCUUUUUUUUUUUUUUUUUUUUUUUUUUUUUUUUUUUUUUUUUUUUUGGCUUUAUUUAAGGUUUACUCUCUAAUGCCAAUCAUAUCCUUCUCAACAUUAUACCCCAGCAUUGUUUCUUAAAAUUUUUAGCAAUUUCCCAUCUUGACAAUUGGAGAGAGCUGGAGCGAGCUAGUGAUCUCAUGCCUUCUUUGUUUUGAAAUUAUACGAAAACCUAUAAAUAUUGGCGGCCGCAUGAACUUUUGACGAUGUGAAAAUAAUGUUAGAAGCCUCAAGUAGUUAUGUAACAUCAUCUAUAUGGUGAAGGGGUGGGAAUGCAUUGAGAUGACAAAAUACGAUUUUAUGAUUAGCUUAUACAAGUGCAGAAGAUGCUUAAAACAAAUAAUCCAACUUUUAUUUCUUGGGAGGUGUAGUUGGUGUGGUAAUUCUACGAGUAGCUCCUUAGUUCUUGAUGAUUGCAUCUAGUUCAAAGUUCUAGAUUCAAAGGAGUUCUACAAUUUUUUAUGAAUAUUCCUAGUGAGGCAAAUAACUUCAUUGAUUCACUAACAAAUUCUAGAUAAGCGAGACAAACUCUUUCAGUAUGAAGCAUAGAUAGGAUUUGGUAUGCUCGUCACUUAUAGGAUGUGUGCAAAAAAGGAAGCUACAUGUUGGGAUGUGUUGAUUAAGAAAACUGUAUAUCUUAAUAUUGCACUUGGUAGAAUUUUGAAACUGAUAUGCCAUAGUUGAACAAAUGGUAAAACUCUAAAUGAUAUUAUUGCAGAAAAAGGGAAUAGGUCUUCUGAAAUUUUAACACUUGGUGGUGCUAGUAAUGUCUAAAAUUGUAAGCACAUUGGGAUUAAUUUACUCACGUGUUGUUUUCUCUUUCAUUGUAACCUAAUUGUACUUAGGUUUCAUCUAUUUGCUAUUGUUAUGUUUCAUUUGUGUGUUGAUUCAGGGGAGACACAACCAGUGAAAUGGGCAAUGCGGUUAAGGGUGGCCUUAUCUAUUUGCUAUUGUUAUGUUUCAUUAUGUUUCAUAAUUUUAAUAGUUGCUCGAUGUAUUUUUAACACGUAGUUAAUGAUUGAAUGUGCUCUUUCUACCUUGUUCUUCCAAGGAAAAAGAUAGACUUGAGGAUAAUCCAGAAGAGGAAUCUUCACAAGUUGAAACUGAACAUGAUUCUGAAGCCGAGCAAAUUGAGAAGUUGGGGAGUAGAUCAUUAGGGUAAUUAGCCUGGUGAUCUUUAUGUUAUAAUCAUGGUUACUUGAUUUGUCCAUUUGUCUCCAAUGCCGUUGCUUCUAUGCAAUUUGUAGUUAUAUAACUUAUCGUAGUUUCGAGCUUUAUAGAGGAUGCAAUAGUAAUGCUUCAAUCCCUACUCGUUUUUAGUUCGGUGGUAUUGUUUCACAUUCUAACAUUCAAGUGUAUUGAUUCAAAAAUUUGUAAUGAAAUUUUCAAUUUAUAUGCAAUUCCAAACAGAGUGUCAUUCUCAGUUUUGCCAGAAAAUUUACAUAAAUUGUUGUUAAUGGUCAAAAAACAAUGCAAAAGCCACUUUUCGAAAACGUUGCGAAAAUGGUCUUUGCAACAAGUUUUGCAACAUCUAAAAAAGUUGCGAAAAGUCACUUUUUGCUAUAUCUUAAAAACGUUGCAAAAAGUUCACUUUUCCCAACGUCUAAAAAACACUACAAAAAGUCACUUUUGCAAUGGUGAAUAAACGUUGCCAUAUCUCUUCCCUCAACAGCAACAUCGACCCCCGCAACACACGCUGAAACGCUACAAAUAACAUUUUGCUACUCACCGCAUCAUAUCAUCAGACGUGUUGAUGUGAUUGCCGUUUCUACUUGAAUUGGAAUUUUUCCUUUCAGACAUCCUAGUUCCACGAUUUUUCUUCUAUCUCAACUGUAUUUCACUCGUGCAUCACUCAAUAUUUAUCCUGUAUUGACCUCACCACUCCGCCUUUUUCUACACAGUGCUUUCGUCUAAGUGUUUCAAAGAACAAAGUAAACUCAACGGGAAUUUAGCCAUAUGGAUCCUAAAUCAGGUGUAAUCAAGACAAGUAACUUGGAGAGGACUUCAAAUAGUUGGAAUGAGAUUUUGAAUAGAACUAAUGGAAUUCAAGAUUUGAUUGAAAACGAAACUUUCAAUUGACUAGAAGGAAAUAAUUGUGACUCAAAGAAAUUGUAAAAAAAAUUGCUAUAGAAAAUGAACAAUAAAAAUAAUAAUUUCUUUUUUUUGCCUUUUUUGGACUCUUUGUAUAGAAAAUUUGACUACAACUCCAAAAAAACAAACAAAAGUUUAUUUGGAUGCAAUUUUGAAUAGAACUAAUGGAAUUCAAGAUUUGAUUGAAAACGAAACUUUCAAUUGACUAGAAGGAAAUAAUUGUGACUCAAAGAAAUUGUAAAAAAAAUUGCUAUAGAAAAUGAACAAUAAAAAUAAUAAAUUCUUUUUUUUGCCUUUUUUGGACUCUUUGUAUAGAAAAUUUGACUACAACUCCAAAAAAACAAACAAAAGUUUAUUUGGAUGCAUCAAAGACUCAAAAUUCAACAAGGACACAGAACACAUGAACGCGGCAAAUAGGAAACAAAAUAAAAAUUAAAAGACUCAACAAAGAAAAUUAAAAUAUAUAACCUCUACUAAUUUGAUGCCUAAGCUCUAAUACCAUUGAUGUGAACCACGUAGCAACAGAAACUACGAAACCCACAAAAGAUUGUCCAACCCAAGAAAGCCAAAAUUAAUCCCGGUUUGCGGACUUGAACCAAGAAUAAUGAAUCAAGCAACCUUGCAAUACAAAGAUGUGAAGGCCUUCCUGAUUACACGAUUUGUAAUUCACACCCGAUGUUGAACGCCACAAGAUUUUCACGGUGAUAAGAUCAAAUUGUUCCAAAAUGAACAAAGGAAUUGAAAGCAAGAAAUUUGCCUCUCUUUAUUUUCUCUCAAAUAAUGUCUAAGUAGUACAAUGAGUGAAUGGAAAACAUAUUUAUGCUAGACCCUAAAAACUAGUUCAAAUGGAAAUAAUGUUUAAAGAUUACAAAAAUAUCAACGGUAGUAAAAUUCUAGCUUAAUUAGGUAACUUACGAAAAACGAAAAAUUGCAUCUCGAUUUAUAACCAUGCGGUCGCAUUGUUCAUCAUUGUGCGGCCGCAUGGAACAACUUGAUCAUGCGCUUUUAGUCUCAGUGAGCCACCAUGCGACCACAUGGGACUUGACACUAUGCAGUCAAUAGUAGUUUUUUUUCAACUCCGUCUUCGGCCGCUUGUAACACAUUGAUCCAAUUGGUUUCGUCCUUUGAUGCCAACAUGAAACUUGCUUCUUUUCACGCCACGAUUGAUGUUCCGUCAAUUGCUGAUUGCACAAGUAGUCCAAUCACUAGAUUUACCCUCUUUGCCCCUCUAACACGUCAUCAGUCCACAUUCGAUAAUCAACGGGUCUCGUCAUGGGCUCGACUCUUGAAUCACAUCACUAAUCUUCAAUUUUGAUAUUGAAAUUUCCAAAAUCUUCCACAUUAUCCCCAAAACCUCAUAAUAAUUAGAAAAUUAUCUUAAAUUUAAAAAAAUAUGUAAUUUAGAUUUCAAACUUUCUAAUUGUCGAAUUUAACUCCAAAAUUUUAUGAAUUUCUUCUAAAUGCUCUAUUAAUUCUUAUAAUUGUUCAUAUGCAUUCUAGUUAAUUUUCAAUUGCUCCAAUUAAACUCUAUCUAAGAUUCAAAAAAUCAUUUUCAUGCUAAUUGUAUUCAAGUUGGAAUUUUUUUCUACAAUUAAUAUAAUUUACCGAAAAUUAUAUUUUCUAUCCAUAAAUCCAUACUGGAGAAAAGCAUGGUCUCAUUUCAUUGAUGUUUACAUAAUCUGUUUUUGAGGCCAUGUGUUCUGGACAAUAUUCCGAUAAUCCAAAUCUAGGUAUCAGCUUUAAUUUUGUAUGAAGAUCAUUAUAUACUAUGAUAGCUUUUAUAACUAAUAUAUAUUUACAAUAAAUCUAAUCAAUUUUGUCAUUUUUCUUUCUAGAUUUGAUAAUUUGGCAGUAACAAAGCAGUGAAGCCAAAAAUAAAAGUUGGGUAGGAAGCCAAGAUAGCCAUCUAUAUGCAUAUUCAAUCAUAAAAUUAUGAAAUGAUUUUAAAUUAUCGACACUUCUAUUAAUAAAUGGGAAUGUGAUGUGUUCCCCAGUUAAGUGUUUUUAUCUGAGAAAAACAUUAAGGAGCAACAUGGCAUUUGAUUCUGUAAAUAGCAGUUGAGUAUCAAAGAUUAGUUUAACAAAAAGAUUUAUAUUAGAGCUUCUUUAUUUAUUCCUUUUCCUCCAUAUAUAGAAUUUGUGCAUUACUUUUGAGGCACAUUUUGUCAGAGAGUGUGAAACCUAUUAUUCAGUUUGUUAUUUCCUGUUAUGAAAAGUAAUUGUAUCUAGGAGAGCUCGUUUCUGGACUCUUCUUCUCUGGAUGCAAACUUUUUUCCAAAGCGCUAGAGUAAUGACUUCUCUAAAGGUUUUAUCUUUGCCUGGGUGUGGACUCAAUUGCAACCUUCCCAGCGAGGUUAAUUUUUCACCUCCCAAUCUCUAAAGGUUUUAUUUAUAUAUCCACAAGGACCAGGACAUAUAUAAGUUUCAAUCUGUGUUUGUGUUUUUCUUCAAUUAUUUCUUUUUUCAGAUUUGAAUUUCACUAUUUCUCUUCUAUUUCGAUUGAAUUUUUUUCUUUAUUUAUUUAUUUAUUUUUUUUACCAAGAAAUAAAAAAAUGUGACAAAUGCUAAGUGACCAUGCUUUCCCCACACACACACACAUUUUUUUUUUUUAUCUAGAAGCAUGUGGAUAUAUAUCUCCCUCAAAUGAGGUAGUUGUGUUUAGAUUGUUAAGAAAAUUAUUGCUCACGUUACUAGUAAUUCUAAAAUAAUAUGAAAGGACAAAUAAAGAUGAAUCCAAGUAUCAAUUUGUAUUGGAAGCAAAGCUAACUUCAUUAAUAAGAAUUUUAUAAUCAACCUUAAUUUUCCUUAUCUUUGUUUGGAUGGUUAGUGUUUAAUUUAAGAGGGUGUUGUCAACUUAAUAAACUCAAGGAGCUUGAUUUGAGUGGAAAUGCGAACGUAGAAUUACUUCCAUCUUGUCUAGAAAACAUGUAAUCUCUCAAAUUGAUUGUCGCCUAAAGAAAUAGUUUUGUGGAGAUAUUGCUAUGUGUCUGCUUUCAAAACUCACCUCACUUGAGUAUCUUUCCAAUCACGUAACAACUUUCACUUGCCCAUUUCCUUUGGGGCUUUAUUUAUUCAUUCAGUUCUUCGUUUCAUAUUUACAAAAGAAAAUGAAGUAAUAGCCAGUACUAAGUUAUGAAAUUGAUUCGCUAACUUCCAACAAGAGGUUUUCAGUUUGUCAAAUUGCCAUCUAACUCCACCUUACUUUCUUCACUAUCAAACUGUCUUGAGAAUUCUUGUUCUCUCACAUAACUUGGAGAAAA
rnacentral:lncRNA from 1 species